AACCAUCAUUUUCUUAAGUUUUGCCAAUGAUGAUUUUGUCUGCAAAAUGUAUGCUCUGUGGAUUCAAGCCCCUGUUUCAGGGAGAACCUCUUGAUGAAGCAGAUAUAAUGUGACAUCAAUUGACAAAUCUGAGACAAUAGUUUGUGCUAGUGGAUUUAAUUGAGAUUUGAGUUUUUAUUUAGCUUCCUUAGUUGCAUGAUAUGUAUAAAUUAUAUAUCGUUUUCCUAUGAUGAUCCUGUCUGCAAAAUGGAUGCCCUGUGGACUCAAGCCCCUGUUUCAGGGAGAACCUCUUGAGAAAGCAGAUGUAAAAUGACAUGAAAUGACAAAUCUGAGAUUUUCCAUAUUGUGCUUCCUAGUAUUAUGACAUCAAUCGACAAAUCUGAGGUAUUCCAUGACAUUGUGCUUCCUGCUGAAGCAAAAGGCUAUGAUGAGAAAAGUCAUGCACCACUCUGAAGAGAUUCAUCUCUUUGUGCUGAUAAACAAACUUACAACCCAUUUUACAUCUGAGCCACCUCUUGGAUACCUACUUUCGUAUUUCUUUAUUUGCUUUUCAUGCCAUAGAUGGUAGUUUUUAUAAACCAGUUUGGGGAAAUAAUGUACAUUACCAGAUGAUGAGGGUUGCCCAAGUGCAAUCCUACCAUGAUGCGGACUGAAAUUUCAUUGAGGUCAAAUACAUUUGCCGCUGAUGGUUCUUACUUUACAAUCCCGCAUAUUUUGAAUGCCAGCGCAGUUCUUGGUAACUUCUUUCGUGAACCUUGUUGCAUUGCAUGUGAAUUACUUUGUUUUCUGUUGAUAUUUAUGUCUGCAAAAUAGGUGCUUUGUAGAAGCAAAGGCUAUGAUGAGAAAAGUCAUGCACCACUCUGAAGAGAUUUAUCUCCUUGUGCUGAUAAACAAACUUACAACCCAUUUUACAUCUGAGCCGCCUUACGUGUUUGUAUUUUCUGAUUUGUCUAUUGGUUUUUGAGAAACCUAGUAUUUUAAGGUAAUAACUGUAUUGGAGGGAUAAUAACAGAACCAGAUGAUGAGGAUUGCCUAUGAGCGAUCCUACCAUGAUGCGGACUGAAUUUACAUUGAGGUCAAAUACAUUUGCCGCUGAUGGUUCUUUCCAAUCCCCCAAAUCUUGAAUGGAUUUUCCCCUUGGUUUUCCAGUGAUGAUAAUGGCUAUGAUGAGAAAAGUCAUGCACCACUCUGAAGAGAUUUAUCUCUUUGUGCUGAUAAACAAACUUACAACCCAUUUUAUUUCUGAGCCAUCUCAUGACUUUUGUAUUUUCUGAUUUGUUUAUUGGUUUUGAGAAACCGUUUUCAGCUUUUGCCUUUGUGAGAAUACUGUAGUUUUGAAACUGUAAGUCUUGGAUAUUAACUGGAUUUGGAGGAAUAAUGUAUAGAACCAGAUGAUGAGGGUUGCCUGUGAGCGAUCCUACCAUGAUGCGGACUGAAUUACAUUGAGGUCAAAACAUUUGCCGCUGAUGGUUCUUCUUCCCAAUCCUCCAUAUCUUUCAAUGGUUUUUCCUCAUUGUUAUGAAUGUACUGGGAAUUUGGUUCAAAACAAAUGGAGUGGCCUCUAGUUUGACAACCUUGUUGCAUUGUAGAGGAAUGCUCAAGUCCCUGUUUUCACUGAAUUACUUGCGGUUUUGCCAAUGAUGUUUCUGUCUGCAAAAUGGACUCUCGAGCCCCUGUUUCCAGGGAGAACCUCUCGAGAAAAUGACAUCAAUCGACAAACCUGAGGCAUUGUAAAACCAAAAAACUUUUACUGGAGCUUGUAUUUCCUAAUUAAGUGUUUCAUCUCUUCUUUUUUUGACAAUUGUACUCGCCAAUCAUGCAUCAGCUUUGCUUACAUGUGGUUUCUCAAAUGUAUUUUCUUUCUCCUGAUUGCAGAAAGCCAUUUCAUGCGCAAAGAGCUGCUGAACCUACUGGAUGAUAUGAAGCAUAUGGUGCUCUCCUUCUGGAUCAUGAUUGUAGCCUUGUACCAAUGAUACAGAGGGAACAUUGUACUGUGAUCUGUAGGCUUGCCUGGUCAUGUUGGCCAUAGUCUCUUGUAAUUCUUGUGAGAAUUAUUGACAUGCACAUAUUUUAACUACCUCCCAUUUGUUGUUGUGCCUGAAAUUUUGGGGGCAAUCAUGCCUGAAGUGUGGACGGUUAGACCAGCACUCGAUAAAAUUUGUUUUGAUGCCCUCUUCUAUGAUCAAAAUGAGCAUUGUGGUGUAAGAUCACAUUUGUUGCACAUACAUGCGAUGGUCAUCUUAGCCCUUGCCUCAAACUUUUUUUUUUUUGAACGUAUAUGGUGCUUAAAUAACAAAACAGUUGAACCCAAAAAAUUGAACUAAAAUGGUGCCUAUUUUGAACUAAAACGAACUAAUCUUUGAUAGAGCUUGGUUUUGGGUUCAACUGAUAAUGUUGGACCUGGAGCUCGCCUUGAACCCAAAACUGAGUUGUCGCCUCUUCGAAUGUAAUGUUGGACCUGGAGCCGAGCAUGGUGCUUGGGGGAAGUUUCUCAUUUUUGGCAAGAGGGGCGUUUGUAAAUCCUGAAAUUUUAUUGAAUUCGAAAAUUUAGGUGGAGCGGUAAAUAAGUUAAAUCUAAAAAACGGUUUUUAGUGAGUUAGAACAUGAUUUGGGCCGUCGUGCGGUUGUGCUUUGGUGGUCAACGAUGGACACAUGGCGCUGCAACAAUGGUUCCGAUGAUUUGCGCAUCCUAGGUGGCCCAAAAAUGUUGGCCUUUAUCUUUUUGGGGAUUGAUGAGGUCUGUGCCCAAGCUUUGAACCGACUCAUGUCAGUGCCUGCAUUGGCGGUGCCUUUGGGUGCUCUCUUUGGAGGCAUUGCGGCUCUUUGGGUAAAAAGCUAAGCUCUGGAUAGUUUUCAGAGCGGGCGACGGCGGUGUCUUCAUCGUCUCCCCUUUAGAGGCGUUGCUUGGGAGAGCUAGUUUGCUUGUUGUGCGUGGUUUCUCCUUCGUCGGGUUUGGAGGAUGUCGGGGCAGUGGCCCCGGGAGGCUGAUGUGCGUCGAGGCUAUGGCCUCGGGCAAUGAUGUGGGGAGACGACUCCAUGAGGCGGGGUAAAGACUCAACCUUCGCUUGGGUGGCAGGUUUUUCGGCUCGGUCGACGCACCCGGUUUGACUUUAUAUCCGGGCGAUGGCUCCAGAUGUGGUGGGGUAGCAGUCGUGUUUGCGGGUGGUUGCCCUGAGCGGCUUGGGUUGGGGUGGUCAGGUCGUGUGGAGUGGCAACUCGAGGGCAAGCGGCGGCAUGUCGGGGUGGUGGCCGCGGAAGACUGUGUUGGUGAACCGCGCAGGAUGUGACAGCGUGGAUGGAAGUCGGGGUAGUGGCCCCGACCCCCGAGAGUUCAGCAACAUCGAUUGUGUUGACCCCAUGUCGCGUGGCGGCGCGGUUGCUCUCAACAUUGGUCGUCGACAUGUCGAACGUCACAUUUGGCGCAGAGUCCUAUGGAGGGCUUGCAUCUUCACCGCUGCAGGGGUGUCUCGUGUCUGCUUUUUGACAGUGGUGGGAGGCCGACUAGCAUGGUGGAGUGGGUCACCGUUGGUUUGAUUGUAAUUUGUUGGCGUGUUUCUGUGAUGUUUUGUCCCGCCGUUGAUGAGAGUGGGUGUGGCCCCAUUAUGUCUGUUUUUGAGUGGGCUUUCGCCAUGUGCCGAGAGCGGGUGCGGCCAUGCGGAGUCUUUGCUCGAGUAGGUUUGGUCAUGUUUGUAUCGGUUUUCACUAGAUUUUUUGUAAUUAACCGUGCAAUAUUUUUCUUCUUAGUUAUUUAAAUGGACAAACGCCGGAUGCGCGUUGAUUUAGCAAGAACAAUAUGCUUCUCUUCAGCUGCUCAACAAUAAAUAAAAGCGACGAUCCACCAGCACAAGCGGAUGCACGAGGCUAGCUAGGGAAUGCAAUGCAUGGAAGCUUCAUCGAUCAUCCGAGUUGCGUUUUGAACCGAGUUCUCCCCGCCCCCCAACGAUUUUCCUCCUCCGCCUCUCCCCGCUUCCAGAUGGCGCCACAUCGUACGUGCCUAUGCGCGCGCCCAAGUUCCCGACGGCCGGCGACGACGGCGCUCGCAUCCCGGUCCUGCUCGCCCUCGCCGCCGCCGCCGUCGUACACCCCGGGCGCGCGCUCGCCUCCGUCCCGCUGCGGCAUCAUGCUGGCAGACCACCCCUUCUUCCCUGGCUUCGGCGUGGGCGACGAGCGCUGCAGCCGGCCGUAUGGCGGGCACUACGAGGAGUACACAUCGCAGGAUUACACUCCGUCGGCCCCUCCGCCGUCGCCGGAUCACACUUCGCCGGGCCCUCCGCCGUCGCCCGACUACGCUCCCUCGUGCCCUCCGCCGUCGCCGGAUUACUCUCCCUCGGGCCCUCCGGCGUCGCCGGAUUACGCUGCCUCGGGCCGUCCGCCGUCGCCGGAUUACGCUCCCUCGUGCCCUCCGCCGUCGCCGGAUUACGCUGCCUCGGGCCGUCCGCCGUCGCCGGAUUACGCUCCCUCGUGCCCUCCGCCGUCGCCGGAUUACACUUGGUCACCAGAGCCUGCUGCUUGGUUCGCUUCCCCGGCGACGACGCCUUCUCCGCGACCCGCGUCCCCAGACCCAGAGUACACGCCGUCAGAGCACGCUGCUGCUGCAUCACCUUACUACACUUGGUCAACUCCUCCUCCGCACGCUUCUUCUCCGGAUUACACGCCCAAUACGCCGUCUCCGCCCCCCUGGUGCUGGUGCUGCUCUCCGGCGCCGAGUCGCGCGCGCCGCCGUAUCACACACCGCCGCCUCCUUCUGGCGGCGCCGCGUCGCCGGACUACACGCCCAGCAUGCUGCCUCUGUUGCCCAUGGUGUUAAUUAGAAGCCUUGUCGCCCACGUCGGCACCGCGUCGCAGCCACCAGAGGAGAUCAAUCGCGGCGGACGUCGGCGAGCCUUGGGAUGUUGGCAUCUUGUAAACUGUAAUAGGAGAGAAACAUAUUGACAUAUUGUAUUACUCUGCAUCAAAAGAUGAAUAUAUUGGUAUAGCUUUUGUUGAAGAUGCGAGAUUGUUCUCUUCUUUUGCUUCCUGUUUUUUAUGGCCGGAGCCCUUUGUUUCUGAUGGAUGCAAAUUGUAAUUGCCUACGUGAUUUGAUGAAAGUCAUCCUGGCACUUGUCAUGUUCUGUGACUGUCAUGUCUGAGAGAAGCAUAUGGUCGCCCUGCAAAGACAAUAGGGAUGCAUAAUAAUGAUGUAGUACAAACAAAUCUGUGUGGCUUGCACAUAAAAUUUCAAGUGAACAUCUCUCAAAAAAAAAUCCAACUGGACAAAAAAUUAGAUGAACCUUUUCCGAGUAAAGCAAGCAGCAUUGCAGAAAUGUUACUCAUACAUUAAAAAUCAAAAUUAUUUUAUGUAGACCUUUAUUUGGUUGUGCACAUAGCCAACUGAAAGUUUUAACAUAGACGCACAACAUUCUUCUCGGUUUCAUCAGAAUAUUUCUUUGCUCAUAGCGAGCCCGAGAAGGAAGCUCGAUCAUGUUCUCUUGGAAAUGCAUACUUUGUUAGAUAGUUCCUUACCUACUUCUUUCAAAUAUUGCAGCAUUUGUUUGGUCUCAUUGACAAGCAUUGUGUUUCAACCAAAGCAGCCACUUUCCCGCAUACUGGUACUUUCAAGUAUUCAUCGGUGGCCUCCAGAUUGCAGAACUUUUUAUCUAAAAUUUGUCUUCACAAUAACUGCACAACGCCCUGGAAUGCAUCAUGGUAAAUGUUUCUGGAUGAGAAUCCCAACAGCAGUAUAGCACUGAUCCUUCACGCUCUGUUCAUCUUUCUUUUGAUGGCUCUAGCUGGAGCAGAAAAAAAAACAUAGACGAGGAAUUAAGGUAAAUAUUUUUUUACAGGAGAGAUCGAGGCAUGUGCAAUGUAUUUUUACAGUCAGCAGUUCCUGGGAGAGGCACAAAACAUGCUUAAUAGCCCUGAAGUAAAAUCAAAUAGGUUUUUCUUGCAACGGUCGCUAAAUUUUCAAAAUGCAAAUGCAAGCAUUUAACUAAGAGCAAUCCUAGUUUUCUGUAACAUUAUGAAGAGAGAGAGAGAGAGAUCAUAGGUUAGUUGAAAUUUUAAGAGUGAACAAAAUAGUAAGUAUCAUCGACAGAGAGAAAAUGCAGUGCAUCAACUAUCUCACAGUUAUUAAACAAACUAUUUUAUAUCUGGUUUGUGUUGCACUCCUUGGUCACGCCUUCUUGUUGCAUAAAUGCAUAAACGCUGAGAUUGGGUAUUCCCAGAGGCAAGCAGCCAAGUACUUGGCCACAAACUUGGAUACUCUGAAUAGGCCUGAAUAUGUGAUGUGUAACAAAAAAGGGGGAAACUCAUAUGACCCUCAGGCCUCAAACUUGUCAUUUUAAUUUUGAAUGUGGCAUCAUCAAACAGCAGCGAUGAGUGGUACGAAGUUUAAAGCAUACUGUAUCAAUUGUCAGCUGAAAUUCUCACAAGGCUGGUACUUUACCGGAAGCAAUUUUAUGUGCUCCCUUAAUUUCCCUUUCCCCGAGAAGGGAGACACAAUUAACAAAAUCGUCGAAACAUCAAGUGACAGCUGUUUUGCAUCAAGUUUAGCCAGAUAAGUUGCAGCCUCUGCAACUGCACAUUUUUCCAGCAACACCCUGACCGCUUGAUUUAGUAGUCUGGGACUUAUGUUUUGAUCCUGUCCCUUGAACAACAAUGGGCGGCCCACAUUUCCUGGAAUCUAGUAGCACACAAGAUCUCUCGUGUGCGAGGCUCAUGUACCAAGCAAUUUUGUUUCCCCUUGACUGCUCAAAUCUGGAAGAGUUUUAAGCUUUUUGGCUCCAGAACAAUGUCAAAAUUCAUUCCUGUUGGUGUGGAGCCUUUUCAGAACAUGGUCUAGAGCAUGAUGCGAUGCCUCGGUGUAGCCUAUGGCAUGUCUUCGCACUUCCAGUAAAUCUUUCGCACCUCUUCAUGUCUUUGCACCACUGAGAAGUGAGAACAAACAUCAGCGGCUCAGGCAAACAGCGUCUGAAACUUCACUCUUCUCUUGAUGCUGCCAGAUCUUUCAUACCCAAUGCCUAUCUUACUAUGCACCAGCUUGACAGCUAGAUCAGUAUUCCCCGCUUUCCUGAGUGCGUUGAUCAUCAUUGUUCGAACCCUGCCAGGUAUCUCACGGCCCUUUCCUACGAUGCCAUCUGCCAAUUUGCAGGCCUGCUUGAAUCUGCCGGCCCUGCACAGAGCAUUGAUCAUGUCCUCGUGUGCCGUCUCAGGAAUCACACCCAUUGGAGCCAGUUCAUCCAAUAUCCUGCAUGCUCGGCUGUAUUUGCCAGAAAGACAUAGCCCGUUGGCAAGGGCCCUGAAAGCUGCAGCUGUGGGAGUGAUCCCCUUGUCGAUCAUCGCAUCCCACAACUUCAGCGCCUCCUCAUUCUUGUGUUCCUUGAACAAACCAUCGAUCAGUAUGGUAUACGUGUAAACAGUCUGAUCACAGCCAUCAUCUUCCAUUCUCUUGUACAAGGCACAAGCAUCAUCCGUCCUUCCUGCUUUAGCUAAACCAUCAAUCAGCACGUUGUAGCAAUAUGAGUCCGGCACAAAACCUUUAACUUUCAUCUCCUCGAAGAGCUCCUGUGCUUGGUCGACCAUUCCAGCUUUCCCAAAGCCAUCAAUCAGGCUUGUAUAGAAGAUAGGGUUCACUGCAAUACCUUUCUCCACACAACUCCUGAAACAUGAAAUGGCCUCAUCCAGCCUCCCAAACCGGCACAAGCAGUUAACAAUCACUCCAUAUGUGACGGCGUCGAGCUCAAGCCCGCUACUCUUCAUCCUCUCAAAGAGUGACAUUGCCUCGGUCUCCCUUCCAAAUUUACCCAUUGAAUCAAUGAGCGCAGUGUACAUGGCUGCUUUGGCUGGGCAACCACGCUUCAGCAUUCUCUCGAACACGGCCAUCCCCUCAAACGGCUUCCCAUCCUUGCAGAGCGCGCCGAUCACCAGCACAUAUGCAUGCUGCGGAAUGUCCUUGCCAAUUCCCCUCUCUUCCAUUUCUUGGAACAAUGCCACGCACUGUGAAAACGUGCCCUCGCUGUAAUGGCACUGCAUCAGUGUAAGGUACGUUAUCUUGUCGGGCGACAGCUCCUCCUGUUCCCUCAUGUGAUCGAGCCGAGCCAUCGCAUCCUGCACCCUCCCGGCGCGGCAGUACCCCUUGAUGAGAAUGUUGUAGGAGACCACGUCAGGGCGAACCGGGUCUUCCGUGGACAUUGCGUCGAACACGUUGACGGCGGUGUCAAGGAGGCCCGCGUUGACGAGGCCGUCGAGGAGGCAGUUGUAGGUGACCCUGGACGGCUCGACGCCGGCGAGGCGCAUGCCGUUCCACGCCCACAGCAGCUCGUCGGCGAGGCCGAGGGCCGCGAGGCUACGGACCAGCGACGCGGCCGACGGCGGCGUGAGGUGCCGCAGCAGGCCGUCCCCGUCCCCGCGGGCGCGCAGCUCGGCGACGAGCCGCCCCGCGUGGCCGGCGGCGUCGGGGGUGGCCUCCCUGGCGCGCGCGAAGGAGUGGAGCAGCGAGACGUAGCAGCCGAGGAGGUGCUGCGGGUGGGCGGCGAGGUCGUCGGUGCCGCCGGGCAGGGCGCGGAAGAAGCGGAGCGACGGGAGCGGGUGGGGCAGGAGCUGCGGGGAGCGCAGCGCGGCGGCGACGAAGGCCGGGGAGAGGCGCAGGAGGAAGGUGCGGCAGAAGGCGCGCAGGUCGGCGGCGAGCGUGGCAGGCGGCGCGCGGAGGACCAGGGAGACGACGCGCGGCAGCCACGGCGACGGGGUGGGCGGCGCGGCCGAGGAGGCGGUGUACGGGCUCGGGUCGGCGAGGUCGGUGUACGGCUCGAUCCACUCCGGCGGAGGGUGGCCGCCGCCGUGGGGGCCCGACGCCCGCCGGCCGCGCGGGACGCUGCAGAACCUUCGCAUCGCUGCAGAGGUGUUGGACGAAGAGAGCGUGGAGGCGUUCUUGAGGCUAGAUUUUGCUCUUUGUCAGUUGUCACGCUUACUUUUCCCAGGGAAUUUUCGCACAUAAUCGCAGCGACAACUUUGCUGGAUUGAAAAUUUUGUAAGGGGUAAUGUUACCCAUCUGACGUUCGCUGGGAGAGGGGUGGCAAGCGAACGCCAUUUGAUAGCAGUUGUAUCUGUGAGGAGCGAUCAAACGACGGCAGUUUUAAAUCGAAAAAUGCCCUCCAUGAAGAAAAUGUCUGAAGAAUCUGUCACCAACUAAAAAUACCAUCUAAAAUGUUUGCAAAUGCCACCCUCCCUGACGAACGUUGGCCGGUUAGCAGGAUACGUCCUGAAAGCUCCAUCUUCCUACCCUGGCGAAAUCGACCUACUGCAAGAGAAUUUUCAUGCCAAGAACAUAAUGUAAGUAGAGUAUAUCCGUAGCUUCAGUGCAAUCCACAAAAAAGGCAAUGAAGCAUCAUCUGUCAUGCGUGUAUGGAAGCAUUACAGAUGGUCAUCAGGCAUUCAGGCGCGAUGAUGCAAUCGUGCAACUGCACUACAUACUUGUCUCAACUACAGGAAAGGAAAGAGCAGCACCCGAACCAAAGACGGCGGGGUCAGAUGGGCGGCGGGUCGUCCCACUGCAGGACGGCGGUGUCGAGGUUCUGCUCCCGCUUGAGCUUGUCCUUGAGGAACCAGUCGCACACCCGCCCGGCGUUGAGCUCCUCGAUCGCCACCCCCUCCUGCUCCGAGAUCACCCGCAGCAGGUUCAGCGACGAGAUCUGACCAAUCCCUCCCAAGAAUCAUUCGUAUCAACACAUGCUAACCAUGAUGUUCUUAAUAAAAUCCAGGUAAACACAUGGCUGCAAACUGCAAACAACUCACGGUGAGGCGGCAGAGGAAGCGCUCGUGGGUGCUGAGCCCGGACAUCUCCACCAGCCCGGCCUCCUCCAGGCUCAGGAACGUCCUCUUCUCCUUCUCCUGCUGCUUCUUCUCGCCGUCACCGCUCUGCUGCUUCUCUUCCUGGCACCUCGUCCUCACCGCCGUCCGCUUUGACGCCGCCGCUCCCGCCCUCGCUGCGAGCGCGGUGGUGCACGCAGUCAGUCACGGGCACGUACUUGCAGGCACGAAUUUAAGCCGGUGCAGAGCGGCGGGUGGUCGACUAACCUGGACUGCAAAGGAAAGCUCGUCGGAGCGACGGCCCGGGCAGCGGGAGCGCCGCCCGCCGCGCUGCGUGGGGUUUGCACGGCGCCACCAUGUGGUGCUGCUGCUGCUGCAUGAUAGCUCACGAGGUUCCUGGCGAGGCGAGCCGGAGGGAGUCGGAAGACGACGACGAUGGGUGUCCGGUGCGAGCAGAUAACGUUCCAUCGCCACGUCCGGAUUUCCUACCCCUCUGACCGAGAACGCUCCGGAAGAAAAGAGUAAAAUGCAUCAUAAGUCCUAAAACUAUGGACGUGUGUCAAUUCAGUCCUAUAACUUUGAAACUGCAAUUUUAGGUCCUAAAACUAUUGGAGGUGUGUCAUUUUAGUCCUAUAACUUUGAAACUGUAGUUUUAGGUCCUAAAACUAUUGAAGGUAUGUCAGUUUAGUCCCAUAACUUUGAAACUACAGGCAAUGAGUGGCAUGAUGGCUUGAGCUCCAACGAGGAGAGUAGACUGGCCACACAGGUGAUGGACGUGCAUGUUGCAACACACAUUGUGACGUCAAAGUGUAUGGACCACUUCUGGGGAAGUAAACACAUAUAAAGAGCUCAUUUGAAAAAAUGCACCAUAGAUGCUAGCCAUGCAAGCUUAGGACCUGAGAUGAACAAACUUACAUAAUUUUGGGACCCAAAACUAUAGUUACAAAGUUAUAGGACUAAGCUGACACACCUUCAAUAGUUUUAGGACCCAAAACUGCAGUUUCAAAGUUAUAGGACUAAACUAACACAUCUUCAAUAGUUUUAGGACUUAUGGUGCAUUUUACUCGGAAGAAAACAACAAAUCCUGAACCAGAAUGCUUGAUCCACAACACAAGGCUAGCAGCCAGCCAGCCAGCCGCUGGCCCUGACCCCGAGCCGUGCAACCCUCAGUUUUACCAAACGAAGCUAAGUAACGGGUGACAGACACCGUUUGCAACAACUAGUCCAAUGUGAACACCUACUUUCACGAACUCACAAAUGAAUCGUAUUUUUUUUACAGAACAAAUCGGCGAAACCAAACGCAAACAGAAAGAAAUUUGUCGGAGAGAAAAGGGGCCGGAGGGUUUGCUAUACAUCGGGUGUGCGGCGCAUCAGGGCAGCUCCAACACGAAUCACCAAACGGACGGCACCAAAUGGUUGUGAACACGUCCGGACGUGUCCAUGGACAGCGCGCGGGUCCGAUCGGCCAUCCAACCAUAGGCACGAAAUGUCCGCCUGCUCGAUCUUUUUUCCUAUGCCUGGAGUAUUGAAAAUAACCAAACAUAAAUAGCACGAUUCUUCGGUGAUUCGAAGAUAAAUAUUCCGAUGCAACAAUAAUUCAAAUGUAAAUAUUGCAAUCCAAACAUAAAGUUCGGGAAUUAUUCCAGAUUUGAAUUCAACUUAUUCGAACAUAUGUUCUACUUGUCUCCUUGCAAUGCUCACAUAUGCUCAAUUUGAUCAUUUCGAAGUUGCGCAUAAGUUCCUCGAUGGCGAAUUUGGUAAUGCAUUUGGAGAAAACUUCAAAUGUCACCGUCCCCCCCCUCCCCCCCAGUUUGGUGCCAAAUCGUGGGAUUUCGAGCGUCCAAACUUUUUCGGACAAAUUAGGUGUCCCUCGUUGGAUGGCCAAAGGUGUCCGGACACUUCGGUCUAGACAUUUGCAGGCAAUUUGGUGAUCUGCGGUUGGCGAUGCCCUUAGCGCCAAUGCAAGGUGGCAUGAUAUAUGCGUGUACACCGACGUCGACAACACUCCUGUAGUUGCUGAUUUCAACGGAGAUGCUCGUGGGUGAAAAAAUAACCCUCGGCGCCACGAUGCUCCCCUCCCCAUCCUUCUCCGCGCCAGUUCAGUUUCUCCUCGGGAUAUUCGACUCAAUGUGAAAUGUCACUAAGGGCUAAGUGUUGAAGAGAAAUAGAGAUUUAAGUAUAUCAAGUGACUUAUAUUAAUGUCGAGUUGGGUAUCUAUAUCUCCCCGACAGGCAUGUACAUACGUUGGUUACAAUGAUUCCAUCUGUUCUAAGAGGCAUGAUGCCCCUUCAACAUCAACAACCUUUGGCAAAGCUGACUUAUAAGUAGUCAGUACAUAGGAAAUCCUAACUGCUAUGUUAGCAUAAAAGUAACGCUGACUUCUAACUAUUAAUAUUUCCUAACACUUCCCUUGGACAACGAUGUUUCUUAGCUUCACUGUCUUGAGAGUGCUGGAUCGUCUUGCCUUUUUAUUGAUAGUCCUUGCUCUUGAAACUUCACGAAUCUUUGAUCUUGUACUAGUUAAGUCCUUCAAAAUCAUGUGGGAAAAGUAUAAGGAGAACUAUAGAAAUUUGAUAUACCAUUAGUGUAUAAUCAAUUGUCAUAUUAAAACCUAUAUGAGAAACCCUUUGGAAAACUCAUAAGGAAAAUAGUACAAUACUUUAUUGACGAGAUGAUAAUUAAUAAGUUAAGUUCCAGGAGAUUUCUCCCCCCGAACUUUGCAAAUUCUGUAGUCAGCUCCUGCCAAUGCCAUGAUGCAUUUUUGAAAUGUUGUUGUUGGUAAAGACUUAGUGAACAAAUCUGUAAGAUUAUCACACGAUUUUGUUUGCAAAAUAUCAAUUUCUUCAUUUUCUAAUAAUUCAUGAGGAAAUAAUAGUUUUGGAGCAACAUGUUUUGUGAUACUACUUUUAAUAUACCCCAGAUGCAUUUGAGUAACACAUGUACAACAUUAUCCUCAUAGAUAAUGGUUGGUGAUUCUAAUGAGCCGAUACGCAUGAUGUUUGAAUAUCAUUGAUUACUCCGCGAAGCCAUGCACAUUCACACGAUUCUUCAUAUAAUACAAUUAUUUUAGAGUGGUUAGUGGAAGUUGCUACUAAAGUCUGUAUUGUUGACUUCCAUGAAAUUGCAGUUUCACCAUAUAAAAAUGCAAACCCUGUUUGUGAGAUGACAUUAAUUAUGGGGAUCAAAAAGAUAACCAUCAUCAGUAUAACCAAUCGGGGCCAUUUCUUGUUUUUUCCCCUAUAGAAUAAACUAAUAACUUUAGUACCAUGCAAUAUCUGAGAUAUUCUUUACUCCUACCAAAUGUCAUUUUGUUGGACCUGCGAUAUGUCUAGCCAACAAAUUUACUGCAAAGGCAAUGUCUUUUCUAGUACAAUUUGCGAGGUACAUUAGUGCUCUUAUGGCAUUAAGGUAUACACUUAUGACAUUAUGUCUUGUGUACAUAUUUGCAAGACUUUUAGCGGCUUUUCUAGUGGUCCAUUUCUGGACUUACUUGUAUAUUUACCAAUUAUCCCGAUCACAAACAAGGGCACGUUCAUAUUUAAAUACACACAUUGCUUCUGAUAGCUGAAGCAUAAGGAACAAACAUUAUCUAAUUAGUACAUAAUGGUUCCUUGGACACUAAAAUGUCCACCUUUGUUGCCCUUAACUUUAGUAGCAGGUGCGAUAGAGUAAUACCACGGAAUAUUUUCUUUCGUACUCUAUUGACGUAUGUCGUCAUAAUAGAACUUUGACUCCUUCUGGACCUAUAUCUUGGGGAAACUCGAUACAAACAAAGUAUAAGGCAUCACCAUGAUCCUUUAUGUCGUAAAGAGAAGAUAGAAAUUUCUUGACCUGCCAAAAAAAUUCCAUCUUCGCAAGGUAGUAAACUUAAUCCCCCUCGUUUUAUAGUAUGAGUGCCCCAAUGCUCUUCUUAUUUCAGAAUUGAAUUUCUUGAGGCAACAUACCUUAUGUUAACUUCAUAUAUCUGACGAAACCUUACGGUUCAGUCAUACACUACAUUCUUAACUUAGUCAACACAAUAGCAUGUUAUAAUGAUAACCCAAGCAUCACAAUAACUCGCCAAGGAAAAUCUAUUGAGUUUCAUAUGUCAUUAGAGCUCGUUAUCACGCAAGCCUCUAAGAUGAUCAUUCACACACAUUAUCAAUCACAGGGUAAUUGUUAAGUCUCAACAUUAAGGAGACAACAUUAUGAGCAUCACAAAAACAUCAAGCAUGUAUUAUCCAUGCAAUGAGAUGAAUCAAAGAGAUGCUUAAUCCAUAUUCAUAAAUAACACAUGAAAAUAAUCAACGUUGGUCAGAAUAGCAUCAUAUGCCAUCAUAACAUUUUUUUAUUAAAUCUCUAGUCAAAACUUCUCAUCAGUUCCAUUUUGACCAGAGAGACAUAAAAUCACAUAAUUAUGAGCAAGAACUUUGGCUAAAUUAAUAGCUAACAUGAAUUAACAUAAAGUGACAACAUAAAACCAUGUUUGCCAUCAUACACAAUGAUACCUUUUGUCACUAAAGUUGAUACCGAUAAUAACAGUGAACAUAAGUGUGAAAAAUAUCAUUAAAAUUCCCAAUGACAUAAAUGAAAAGGACAUGGAAUUAACAUAAAAAUAUACAUGUCAUUGCCACUGAGUAAACACCAAAAUUGAAAUUUAUAGUGAAAAAUGACAUUAAAAUUAUCGUCAGGAUAUGAUAAGAUUUUCCAAAUAAUAAAUCUGAACAUAAAUUUACAUAAGGAUUCACAUAUAGGGAUGGCAAUGGGUAGGGUAUGGGCGGGUACAACCUCCAAACCCAUACCCAUAGAAACUUUCUAUACCCACCCACUUCAAUACCCAUGGGCAUAAAUUGAUACCCAUGCCCAUACCCAUCGGGUAUCCUGUAACCAAUGGGUAUCCAUUGGGUACCAUAUAUAGCAUUUAAAUUUUGAUUUUUUUUAGAGAAAUGAGUCUGAAAUUCAAGUGAUAUGGACGGUCAUUAUGGCACCAACAUAGUCUCCUCCGAUGGUGGCUUCUUGGAGGCAUCAAGGGAUUAUGAGCAGCGGUUGGUGGAAGCCCGACGUAGUGGGAAUGAGCAGCUGGAAUUGGGGGUCACUGGGUCGAGAGUUUAGAGGAGUCCGAUGGCGAUGAGUCAAGAUUUCAUUGUUUCAAGAAGUUAUAUAUAUAGGACGUCAGAGGAGUGUCGAGCAGGCGAUUGCAGGCCUAUGACCUAUGGCUGGUUUAGAGAAUACAAGAUUUAGGGUUGGGCCAUAGGAGUUAGAUGCUUACCCCACAUGUCAUAGGAAUAAUUUGGAUUUAUUAAUUUCUUUUGGGUAUCCAUUGGGUUACCCAUGGGCGCAAUUGAAUACCCAUGCCCUACCCAUAGAUUUUGCGGGUAUGGAUACCCAUUACCCGUGGGUACAAUAUCUUUCCAAGUCAUGCCCAUGCCCAUUGUUUUGCCCAUGGACAUAAAUAUUAAUUGCAUAAAAAUAGUCCUGUCAACUAAACAUCAAUGUGUGUGCAACUAGACUACAUUGCCGCGCCAACUAAGCAUAUGUUUGUGCAACUAGUGUCCUGCCAACUAAACAUCAAUGUGUGUGCAACUAGACUAAACUACAAGCCAACUGAGCAUAUGCCAACUAAACAUCAAUGUGUGUGCAACUAGACUAAACUACAAGCCAACUGAGCAUAUGUGUGUGCAACUAGUCUUCCUGCCAACUAAACAUCAAUGUGUGUGCAACUAGACUACAUUACAAGCCAACUAAACAUCAAUGUGUGUGCAACUAGACUACAUUACAAGUGGAGGUUGAACAUCGACUUUCUCGGGGCAAUAGACUAGUUGCACAUCAAAGUUGUCGUGGUUGCUAGGUUGCAACCUCAUACGAAUGUGCAGCUCCAAACAUUAGUUUUGGAAAAAGUUGCACGAUGUAGUACUAAAGUUGCACAAUAUAUCAUCAAAGUUGCAUAAAAAAAUUUGUUGUAACAUACCCAUAUGGGAUCUAGUUUCAAAGAUCUCGUCACGAAGAACCCAACGAUGAAGACGGAUUUGAAUUCCGACAUGUGGUUUGAAAGAUAUGACUUUUUAAAAAUUGAAGAUCCGGAAUAAAUACACGUGAAUCUGUUUUGUUGUCCAUCAGAUAUAAUAAGUUUGACUGCAUUUAAUGAUCAAUCACAUGCACUAGCAAACAAAUCCUACACAUGCAUGUGUGUGGCAGAGCGCGGCCCUCGUUUUCUCCAGAAGGUGCGCGUGCACUUCGAAGAUUUUAGGGAAAUUUUUUGGCCCAAAAUGUUUUUUUACCCACGGUUAGGCCAAGCUCAGCAGCUAAAACACUUUUUUUUUGAGAAUUAGCAGCUAAAACACUUAAAAAGAAAAAAACUGUUGGCUUGGCUAAGACAACCUGGGCCGAAGCCCAUGACCACUUUCGGUCCCUUAAGCCGCCUGCAGCCCAUCUGCUGCACCGCGCUGGUCUGAGCCGUCGAUCCAACCGGACGGCUGAGAUCGAUCCAGGCCAGAUCAAAACGGCCAGCCGAGGGACCCUACCUCAUUUCUCUCCUCUCCCCUGUUUUUCUCGGUCCCGUUCUGGAGAGGCGACAUCGACGGCGACGCGCUGCCCCCCUUCUUCCAUGGCUGCGUGGUGGCUUUGCUCACCGGAGCAACGUUCCAUGGACUUGGUCCGGCGCGCUCCUCCGUCGAGCAUGGCUGUCGGCGCCGCAUUCGUUCGGGACAGCGAGGGGAAGGAUAUCUGCUUCGUGCGGAUCCAUUAGUCGGCGACGGCGGCGAGCACAACCAGGCGGUCGAACAGGCGCGCGUCCAUGAGCACGGCGGCGGCAUUCCGCGCGUCGCUCAGGUGGGAGGCGACGGCGUCCUGGCACUCUCGCACUCGCAUAGCGGUGAGUGCCUAGCGGGCCCCGAAGGGAAAAGGCGAUGAUGUGGCGCGUUAGUGAGAUAUAUUCUUGAUCCCAAUCUGUGUGCUUUCAUGCUCAAUUGGGUGCGAAAACCUAAUUGCAAAAUUAGGGUAUCGAAUUGGGGAAACUUUUUUGAUCUAGGGUCUCGGAAAUUGGGGAUGUUCUUCUGAUUAUGUGCUCUUGAUUCCCUUUUUUCUAAUUAGCCUGACUCAGUACUGAAAACUAAUAAAUGUUUUGUACAUAAAUGUUAGCAUUAGACCUUAACUUAGAUUAAUUAAAAUUGACGAACACAGGUAGUACUUAUCAUAGCCAAUUAGAAUGAAUCUUGAAUAUCAACAGUGGGCAAUUUAGAUGAACUUAAAACAGUAGCAGCAUAUUGGCAAACAGAGUUGUAAAAAUCAAUCUUAAACAUAAUUCCCUAAACAUAAGACUGAUAUACUAAUCAUGAAUUUGGGAUCUAUUACAAUCAGGGAGGCGUCUGAUACCAUUGUUAAAAUAUUUGCAUCACUAGGAUGCGUCUUCCUGAGGAGACUCGGCGGGCACCUCACCGGCCGGCAGCUCAACCCCUUCCCCACCCACAUCCCCUCACUGCCGCCGGUAAUCGACGUCGGGCAAAGCCUGCCGGCGGCUGGCGGCGGCGGGAUCCGCUCUCUCCAGCGAAGCUCGCCACACAACUCCCCUGUUUUCCUCCCUCCACCUCCCACCACGCCGGCCAUCUCCUCCGUCUGCCCGGAUCCGCCCGUCCUCCCCACUCACCUGCCUCGGUGCUCGCCGGAUCUGGCUGAGCGCGCCCUUUGCGGCGUGUGGCUGCCUUUGGGUCGAUGCCCCCACGCGGAUCCAGAUCCAUUUGUGCCGUGACCUCCUUCGCUCGAUCUGCUCCGCCCUCCCCGGCUCCGUCUGCACCAGCUGCACGACGUGCGCUCCGGGUGGCGCCCCUUUGUUCAGUGCGUGCCCCAAAACCGUGGUGGUCAUCAGGCUGGCUCGGGGUCUUCCACCUCUGCGCCCGUGCGCCGCAUCCCUCCGCUCCGGCAAAACUACCCUUCCGCGCGUCGUGCGUCCGGCUGUUCGCGGCCUGCUGCUCUCUUGAGCCGCCACGCCACCCAGGCAGGGCUGCGCCGCCACUGGCGUGGCGCGUGUGUCGGCCGUCGCCCACACCACCCCUCCCUCUGAUCCAUGCUCAUGGGUGCUCGGUGGAUUGUCGCGGUUCCCCUGACUCGGGCGGGCCAUGCGGCUCCGGCGCCCUCGACCUGGUCGCCUCCGCUGCCGGGCUUUGCAGCUGCGUUUGGUUUGUGCCCGUGUCAGCGGCGUCUAGCAUGGAGGACUGCUGCCCCUCGCCGCAGUUCCCUCUGACCUUCGGCUCUCUGUCUCCGGGAGAAAUCCCUUCGCUGGUUCCUUGCCAGCGGCAGCAACGGCGAUGCCUUCCCGGCGCCGCUUCAUCUUCUUGGAGGCGCCGCUGUGGAGUUAAGUGUAGCUAUGGUUUUGGACGAAAGUCCUGCGAUGAUGGCGCCUGUGGGCGUCAUUCAACCUUCCUGAAGGUGUCGCAAAAACACAUGCUUCAAUCCACUCACCUACGCCCGCCCAUUCCAUCAUCGACUUUGUCCCUCCGUCGCCACUCACCGCCAUCCAUCCAUCCGUCUGGUGUGUUGUCCAUGUUGUGCUUGCUCAGGUCCCUUCCAUGCCUGUUGUUGUCUUGCGGCAGGUUGGGGUCAACAGUGGUUUGUGUUGUUGCUGCCCUACUUCCUAUGUGUUCGUCUUCGGUGUUGUUCCCCGGUGUCGGCCAUAUUGCUGUGCAUGUUCAAGCCCCUCCCAUGGUGGCCGUUGUGUUGCGGUGAGCUUAGUGCUCUUGGUGUUGUCCCGGUUCAUCUUUGCUCUUCGACGACGCAAGAUGCCUCCACAGCUUGCUAAUCAUCCCGAAUUCCCGUGGCGGAGCUCCAAGUCAAGGUUCGUGUUGUCACUCGUUCGUUGUGGAUACUCCUGAGUAGUGUCGUGAGGUUCGGUAUGCACGCCGGUGUGGUGCGCUAGGUCGCUUGCUUAGUCCUGGUAUUGUGAUCCUUCGAUGACACCCCUCUUCUACUUGUGCCUCCCUGGUGUUGGUCCUUUGGUCUGCUAGCUAGGUCAUCCCUUGUCUGUGGCAUCCAUUUUUCUUCUUUUCUUCAGUCAUUGAUGUGCGGCAUUUUUUCUCUCUCUUCUUCUGUAACCUUGUUGAUUGUACGGUUUUUGGCCCGGUUUCCCUUAUAAACGGGGUCAAUUUGUUUAGGUUUUCGAUCCUGUUUCCCUUAUAAACUGGAUCAUCCAAAGUUAAGAGGUGACUCUUGGCUUUGGUAGCUUUUUGAGCAAUAUAUUCAGGUGGGGACCUCCCUCCCGGUGACCGUUCAAAAAAAAGGAUGCCAUGCACAUUAAUAGGUUGCAUCUAGACCUCUUAAUUGUCAUGAAUAGAGAGAGAUUAGGGAUUCAUUACUUGUCAUAGAAGUUGACAUGAUCUCCUGCUUGUUGCAGGAGAAAUGGAAGGAUGAUGUAGUCUAAGUAGACGAUCUCCUUGAUGUCCUGAUUUCUUCGGGCCGCCACCGGCACUGUUCUGUGACGGCGGCAUGAUGACUAAGUCUUCUCACCGUUGCAGCAGCUCCCCCAUAUCGGAUUAGGAUAGAUUCAUGAGGGCUAGUGAACUAUAUGUAAAACCUGCCCUAAGCCCCCCUUUCCUUUACAUUUGAGCAGUUGUACGGGAAGGGACCUAAACCCUCAGUUGGUUUUUGGGCACCCCCAAUAAGGGUGCUAUCGUUGGGUCCAGAGCGUUGGUUCAUGGGCCUCCCCCCCUUUUUUUUUCUCUCGUACGGUUAUUUGACUAUUUUUUUCUUUUAACCGACAUAUCAAUUCAAUAGCUACUACUUUGCAAGCUACUGGAGAAGGCGCUGAAGGGUGCAUGCCACCUCCAUGUGCUCCGCAGGUUUGCCAAUGACGCGGUUGAUACGUCUCCAUCGUAUCUACUUUUCCAAACACUUUUGCCCUUGUUUUGGACUCUAACUUGCAUGAUUUGAAUGGAACUAACCCGGACUGACGCUGUUUUCAGCAGACUUUCCAUGGUGUUAUUUAUGUGCAGAAACAAAAGUUCUCGGAAUGACCUGAAACUCCACGGAACAUCUAUUUGGAAAAUAAGAAAAAUACUGGAAGAAAAAUCCACGUCAGGGGGCCCACACCCUGUCCACGAGGGUGGGGGGCGCGCCUGCCGCCCCUGGGCGCGCCCCCUACCUCGUGGGCCCCCUGGCUCUCCACCGACCUCAACUCCAACUCCAUAUAUUCACUUUCGGGGAGAAAAAAAUCAGGGAGAAGGAUUCAUCGCGUUUUACGAUACGGAGCCGCCGCCAAGCCCUAAAACCUCUCGGGAGGGCUGAUCUGGAGUCCGUUCGGGGCUCCGGAGAGGGGGAUUCAUCGCCGUCGUCAUCAUCAACCAUCCUCCAUCACCAAUUUCAUGAUACUCACCGCCGUGUGUGAGUAAUUCCAUCGUAGGCUUGCUGGACGGUGAUGGAUUGGAUGAGAUCUAUCAUGUAAUCGAGUUAGUUUUGUUAGGGUUUGAUCCCUAGUAUCCACUAUGUUCUGAGAUUGAUGUUGCUAUGACUUUGCUAUGCUUAAUGCUUGUCACUAGGGCCCGAGUGUCACUGGACUAUGCUUAAUGCUUUUCAUGAAUAUAUGUGAGUUCUUGAUCCUAUCUUGCAAGUCUAUAGUCACCUACUAUGUGUUAUGAUCCGGCAACCCCGAAGUGACAAUAAUCGGGACCACUCCCAGUGAUGAGCAUAGUUUGAGGAGUUCAUGUAUUCACUAUGUGCUAAUGCUUUGUUCUGGUACUCUAUUAAAAUGAGGCCUUAAUAUCCCUUAGUUUCCAUUAGGACCCCGCUGCCACGGGAGGGUAGGACAAAAGAUGUCAUGCAAGUUCUUUUCCAUAAGCACGUAUGACUAUAUUCGGAAUACAUGCCUACAUUACAUUGAUGAAUUGGAGUUAGUUCUGUGUCACCCUAUGUUAUGAUUGUUACAUGAUGAACCGCAUCUGGCAUAAUUCUCCAUCACCGAUCCAAUGCCUACGAGCUUUUCACAUAUUGUUCUUCGCUUAUUUACUUUUCCAUUGCUACUAUUACAAUCACUACAAAACCCAAAAAUAUUACUUUUGCAACCGUUACCGUUACUUCCAUACUACUUUGCUACUAAAUACUUUGCUGCAGAUAUUAAGUUAUCCAUGUGUGGUUGAAUUGACAACUCAACUGCUAAUACUUGAGAAUAUUCUUUGGCUCCCCUUGUGUCGAAUCAAUAAAUUUGGGUUGAAUACUCUACCCUCGAAAACUGUUGCGAUCCCCUAUACUUGUGGGUUAUCAAGACUAUUUUCUGGCGCCGUUGCCGGGGAGCAUAGCUCUAUUCUUUGAGUCACUUGGGAUUUAUAUCUGCUGGUCACUAUGAAGAACUUGAAAGACGCUAAGACAACAAUUUAUCCCUCAACUACGAGGGGAGGUAAGGAACUGCCAUCUAGCUCUGCACUUGAUUCACCUUCUGUUUUGAGUAAGCUUGCGACACCUAAACCUGCUUCUGCUAUUCAUUCUGAUAUGUCACAUGUUAUUGAUGAUACCACUUCUGCUAUGCAUAAUACUUAUGAUGAAACUACUUCUAUGCUUGAUACUACUGUGCCACUUGGUGAAUUUCUUGAUGAACAGCUUGCUAGGGUUAGAGAGAAUGAAAUUAUUGAUAAUAUUGAUGAAAGUGAUGAUGAAGACUCUCGACCUAAUAAAUAUGAAUUGCCUGUUGUGCCUGAGGGCUAUGUUAUGGAUGAAGCAAUUGCUAAAGAAAUUUUUGCUUGCAAAGAUAGAUAUGAUGUUAAGAAAUUAUUAGCUAAAUGGAAGCAGCAAUCUCUUAAUGCUAGAAUGAAACCUGACCCUGCUUUUGCUACUUCACCUAUCUGUGUUACUGAUAAGGAUUAUGAAUUCUCUGUUGAUCCUGAUAUAGUUACUUUGGUUGAAUUCGAUCCUUUUCAUGGCUAUGAAUCUGAAACUGUUGUGGCACAUCUUACUAAAUUAAAUGAUAUAGCCACCCUGUUCACUAAUGAUGAGAAUUCUCGCUACCUUUAUAUCCUCAAAAUAUUUUCGUUCUCAUUAAAGGGUGAUGCUAAGAUAUGGUUCAGUUCUCUUGAUCCUGGUUGUGUCCGUAGUCCCCAGGAUAUGAUUUAUUACUUCUCCGCUAAAUAUUUCCCCGCUCAUAAGAAACAAGCUGCUUUAAGGGAUAUAUACAACUUUCUGCAAAUUGAAGAAGAGAGUCUCCCACAAGCUUGGGGGAGGCUUCUCCAGUUACUUAAUGCUUUGCCUGAUCAUCCUCUCAAGAAAAAUGAAAUACUUGAUAUCUUUUAUAAUGGACUAACUGAUGCUUCCAGAGAUUACCUGGAUAGUUGUGCUGGUUCUGUUUUCAGGGAAAGAACAUCGGAUGAAGCUGAAAUUCUAUUGAAUAAUAUGUUGACAAAUGAAAAUAAUUGGACACUUCCUGAGCCAGCUCCUGAGACAAUUCCUAAACCAACUCCAAAGAAGAGAGGUGUUCUAUUUCUCAGUCCUGAAGAUAUGCAAGAGGCAAAGAAAUCCAUGAAAGAAAAGGGUAUAAAAGCUGAAGAUGUUAAGAAUUUACCUCCUAUUGAAGAAAUACAUGGUCUUAAUUUACCGCCUGUUGAAGAAACAUAUGAUCUUAAUCCAUCACCUAUUGAAGAAGCUCAUGGUCUUGAUAACCCGACACAGGUAGUAAAGGUAAAUUCUCUCUAUAGAUUUGAUAAAGCUCAAAUCCCUCCUACUAAAAUUGCUAGCCAAUGCUUGGAUGAGUUUGAUAAUUUUAUGGUUAAGCAAGAAGAUUUCAAUGCUUAUUUUGGUAGACAAUUAAAACAAAAUGCUUAUAUGAUUGAACACUUGGGUGAUUACAUGUCUAGAGUUAAAGGUGAACUUUAACUCAUUAGUAAACAUGCUUCUAUGGUUACUACUCAAGUAGAACAAGUACUUAAGGCUCAAAAUGAUUUGCUCAAUGAAUUGAAUAGUAAGAAUAAUGAUUAUUCUGUUAGAAUGGCUACUAGAACUGGUAGAAUGACUUAGGAACCUUUGUAUCCUGAAGGCCACCCUAAGAAAAUUGAGCAAGAUUCUCAGAGAAAUAAUAUUGAUGCACCUAGUCCUUCUAAAAAGAAGAAAAAGAAAAAUGAUAGGACUUUGCAUGCUUCUAGUGAACCUAUUGCAGAACCACCUGAGAAUCCAAAUGAUAUAUCUAUUUCCGAUGUUGAAACACAAUCUGGUAAUGAACAUGAAACUAAUGAAAAUGCUAAUGAUGAUGUUCAUGAUGAUGCUCAACCUAGUAAUGAUAAUGAUGUGGAAAUUGAACCUGCUGUUGAUCUUGAUAACCCACAAUCAAAGAAUCAAUGUUAUGAUAAGAGAGACUUUGUUGCUAGGAAACAUGGUAAAGAAAGAGAACCAUGGGUUCAGAAACCCAUGCCUUUUCCUCCCAAACCAUCCAAGAAAAAGGAUGAUCAGGAUUUUGAGCGCUUUGCUGAAAUGAUUAGACCUAUCUUUUUGCGUAUGCGAUUAACUGAUAUGCUCAAAAUGAAUCCUUAUGCUAAGUACAUGAAAGAUAUUGUUACUAAUAAAAGAAAGAUACCGGAAGUUGAAAUUUCCACCAUGCUUGCUAAUUACACUUUCAAGGGUGGAAUACCAAAGAAACUUGGAGAUCCAGGAGUACCUACUAUACCAUGCUCCAUUAAAAGAAACUAUGUUAAAACUGCUUUAUGUGAUCUUGGAGCCGGUGUUAGUGUUAUGCCUCUCUCUUUAUAUCAUAGACUUGAUUUGAAUAAGUUGACACCUACUGAAAUAUCUUUGCAAAUGGCUGAUAAAUCAACUGCUAUACCUGUCGGUAUUUGUGAGGAUGUGCCUGUUGUGGUUGCAAACAUUACUAUUUUAACGGACUUUGUUAUUCUUGAUAUUCCCGAGGACGAUAGUAUGUCUAUUAUUCUGGGAACACCCUUUUUGAAUACUGCAGGGGCUGUUAUUGAUUGCAACAAAGGCAAUGUCACUUUUCAUGUUAAUGGUAAUGAGCAUACGGUACACUUUCCGAGGAAACAACCUCCAGUUCAUAGUAUCAACUCUAUUGGAAAAAUUCCAUCGAUUAUAUUUGGAGGUUUUGAAUUUCCUCUACCUACUGUCAAGAAGAAAUAUGAUAUUCUUAUUAUAGGGGAUGUGCAUAUCCCCGUUGAGGUAACAUAGUGUUAUUCGAAAUUUCUCCGGUUCCAUGUUAUUCGGAAUGAGUUUGUUAACAAGACUUGAUCAACCUUGUUAGUGGAUUCCUUUUGAUGAGCAUGAGAUGGAUGAAACUAGAAGGCACAACCUUCUGUACCCUCCUUCUACUUUCUGUUAUUUAGUUGAAAUAAAGUAAAAAUAGUAUUUUUCUGUCUGUUUUCUGAUUUAUCCGUGCAAUAUAAAAAUACCCUGAAAAUAAAAGUUCUCCAAUUGCCCCAAAAUUAAAAUAUGAUUUUUUCUGGAAUAUUUGAGAAUAUUUGGCACUGAGAACACAACAGGAGGGGCAAGCACCUGGCCACGAGGGUGGAGGGCGCGCCCCCUGCCUCGUGGGCCCACGGUGGCCCCCUCCACUUAUUCCUGCACCCACACACUUCUUCUUCCUCCCAAAAAAAUCACCAUCCAGCUCAAGCAUGAGUUCUAGCUCAUUUUGCUGCGAUUUUCGAUCUCCUUGCUCAAAGCACCUCUCACAAAACUGCUUGGGGGGAUUGUUUCUUGGUAUGUGACUCCUCCAUUGGUCCAAUUAGUUUUUGUUCUAGUGCUCUAUUCAUUGCAAAUUUGUGCUGCCUAGGUGACCAUGUUCUUGAGCUUGCAUGUCAAAUUUAUAUGGUUCCAAGUAGUUCUAAUGCAUGAUAUAGUCUCUAGGCACUUGUAGGAGUAGUUGCUAUCAAUAUUGUUGAGCUUGGUUCACCUUUAUUUUGAAGUUACUAAAAAUUUCAGAAAUUUUUCAGAAGAAUAAAUAUGCUUAGGAAAAUGUUCCAAGGUGGUUCUUCAAGGAAGCAAGGACCCAGGCUUGCAAUGCGUGAUGCUGACGAUGAGUCACCGAGGGACGCUCCAGUGCGACCUUGUGAAUGGCCUUCAGAAAAUUUUAUGGAUCGAGCGGGAAUCAAGGAAGAAUUUAACGCAUAUUUGCGUAAUGCUGAUCUUGUGAGCUUUGAGGCAGAAAAAUGCCGCCAAUACCACUAUCUCACUAGUUCCUUUGUGAGGAGGUUUGAAUUUUCAGCUUCACGUAAUUCUCCAACUGUCCUGUUUGAUCUUUAUGAAAAAUCUUAUACGAUGGACUUAGAGGAUUUUACUUCUGCUUGCAAACUUCCAUAAUGGGGUAGUGCUAGUGAACCCCGCAAAUCUGAAUUUAGAAAUUUUCUUGCUAGUAUAACUGUGGGGGAAUCUAGAGAUAUAGCACAAGCUACUAUAGGGAGCAUUCAUUUUCCUGCUAUACAUUAUUUUGCUCUCUUCAUAGGUAGGUGCAUAAAUGGUAAAGAUGAAGCAUGUCAUAUGUGUGUUCCUGACCUCAGUAUUCUUAGGAGUGCUGUGUUAGGAGACAAAUCUUAUAAUUUGGGAGCCAUUGUUGCACGUAGGUUGCAUAAUAAUAGAUUUAAUGGAGAUUUCUUUGGUGGAAUUUAUGCAACCCGCUUAGCUGAUUUUCUUGGUGUAACCAUACGUAAUGAUGAUAUUGAAUUGCCUCCUGCUUACUUAGACUUUAAUGCUGUUCACCACCAGUUUGUUGAGAGGAAUGAAUCACCUCUCCAGUAUCGCUUAAUCUUUGACAGACGUCGUGCUGUCCGUAUUACUCUCCCUGCUCCCGCCUUUUUUGAUUAUCAGGCAAAAGGAAGAUAUGUUAUUACCAGAGAGGAGGCAGAUGAGUACGAGAGGAGGGCAGAAGCCGCUCGCCGCCACGCUGCAGCUCAGGAGGCGAUAGCCGCUGCAUCUCAGUACGACCCCGGCUAUAACUACAGAUAUCCGCCAGGCCACCCGUGGCAAUAAACCAACUUAGGCCAAAAGCCUAAGCUUGGGGGAGUACGUAUUUCCCACCGACAUUACAUUUAUGUCCACACACUCAUUGCUAGAUGUCGGUGCUCAUACUCUUUCACUGUAAUAUCCAUGCUAGUUUAUUUUCCUUUUCUUGCUCUCUUCUUGUGUGUUUGAUAAACUUUAAGAAAAACCAAAAAAAAAUUAGUAGUAGCUUUUAGUUAGUUUACUUUUCUUGCUGUAGUAGUAAUAAUUAAAAAGAAAACCCAAAAAGAUUUCCUGCUCUUCUUUUUGCUUGUUGGGAGCUUUCCCGUGUAAAUAGUUUUAUGUCUUUUCUUUUCUUUGGGGGUCGAUAGGAGAAGACCAUGAUUAAAUUGUUGAAGUGGCUCUUAUAUGCAUUAUUGUUGAUUUAACCAAGAGCCCAUAUUGCCUUGUCUUCUCCUGUUUAUUGAAUGCUCGCAGAUUCCAGCUUAGUCCAAUGCACGUGCACUCUUAUUAUUAUUCACAUCGUUCGGUCGUGCAAGUGAAAGGGAAUUAUGACGAUAUAUGAUGGAUUGACUGAGAUGAGAAAAGCUGGUAUGAACUCGACCUCUCUUGUUUUUGUAAAUAUGAUUAGUUCAUCGUUCCUGAUUCAACCUAUUAUGAAUAAACAUGUUUGCAAUGACAAUUAGAGAUCAUAGUUGCUUAUGCCAUGCUUGAUUAGCUAUGAGUUAUAAUGGUUUACCUUGCGUGCCAACAUGCUAUUAAAAUGGUUGUGAUGUGGUAUAGUGGGGUGGUAUCCUCCUUUGAAUGAUUUAAGUGACUCGACUUGUCACAUGUUCACACAUGUAGUUGAAACAAAUCAACAUAGCCUUCACGAUAUUUAUGUUCAUGGUGGAUUAUAUCCUACUCAUGCUCGUACUCAAUGUCUAUUAAUUUUAAUGCAUGUUCAUGACUGUUGUCGCUCUCUAGUUGGUUGCUUCCCAGUCUUUUGCUAGCCUUCACUUGUACUGAGCGGGAAUACUGCUUGUGCAUCCAAUCCCUUAAACCCCAAAGUUAUUCCAUAUGAGUCCACUAUACCUUCCUAUAUGCGGUAUCUACUUGCCGUUCCAAGUAAAUUUGUAUGUGCCAAACUCUAAACCUUCAAAUAAACAUUCUGUUUUGUAUGCUCGAAUAGCUCAUGUAUCAACUAGGGCUGUCCGUAUCUUCCAUGCUAGGCGGGUUAUUCUCAAGAGGAGUGGACUCCGCUCCUCACUCACAAGAAAAUGGCUGGUCACCGGGAUGCCCAGUCCCAUGCUUUAUGCAAACUAAAUCAAAAUUAAUUGCAAACAAAACUCCCCCUGGGACUGUUGCUAGUUGGAGGCACUCGUUGUUUCGAGCAAGCCAUGGAUUGAUGCUUGUUGGUGGAGGGGGAGUAUAAACUUCUGUUUGGGAACCGCCUAUAAUGUGUGUAGCAUGGAAGAUAUCGCCAUCUCUUGGUUGUUAUGUUGACAAUCAAAGUAUGCUGCUCAAAAUACUAUUUAUCUCUGCUUUAAAACCGAGCUCUGGCACCUCUACAAAUCCCUGCUUCCCUCUACGAAGGGCCUAUCUAUUUACUUUCAUGUUGAGUCAUCACCCUCUUAUUAAAAAGCACUAGCUGGAGAGCGCUGCUGUCAUUUGCAUCCAUUACUGUUAAUUUAUAUUGGGUAUGACAAUGACUGGAUCUCUUUUACCAUGAAUUACAAUGUCUAGUCAGUCCUUGAUCUUUAAAGCCGCUCUGCAUUUAUGUUUUGCGGACUCAGAAAGGGCUAGCGAGAUACCAUCUUGUUAUAUCAUAUUAUGAUUGUUUUGAGAAAGUGUUGUCAUCCGAGAUUUAUUAUUAUGGCUCGCUAGUUGAUUAUGCCAUUGAUAUGAGUAAACCUAAGACCUAAGAGUUAUUGUGAAUGUGGUUAGUCAUAAUCUUUGCUGAAAGCUUGAAUGCUGGCUUUACAUAUUUGCAACAAGAGCAAACAGAGUUUGUAAAAGUUUUUCGUUAUCACUUUCAAUUUAUCAACUGAAUUGCUUGAGGACAAGCAAAGGUUUAAGCUUGGGGGAGUUGAUACGUCUCCAUCGUAUCUACUUUUCCAAACACUUUUGCCCUUGUUUUGGACUCCAACUUGCAUGAUUUGAAUGGAACUAACCCGGACUGACGCUGUUUUCAGCAGACUUUCCAUGGUGUUAUUUAUGUGCAGAAACAAAAGUUCUCGGAAUGACCUGAAACUCCACGGAACAUCUAUUUGGAAAAUAAAAAAAAUACUGGAAGAAAAAUCCACGUCAGGGGGGCCCACACCCUGUCCACGAGGGUGGGGGGCGCGCCCCCUACCUCGUGGGCCCCCUGACGCUCCACCGACCUCAACUCCAACUCCAUAUAUUCACUUUCGGGGAGAAAAAAAUCAGGGAGAAGGAUUCAUCACGUUUUACGAUACAGAGCCACCGCCAAGCCCUAAAACCUCUCGGGAGGGCUGAUCUGGAGUCCGUUCGGGGCUCCGGAGAGGGGGAUUCGUCGCCGUCGUCAUCAUCAACCAUCCUCCAUCACCAAUUUCAUGAUGCUCACCGCCGUGCGUGAGUAAUUCCAUCGUAGGCUUGCUGGACGGUGAUGGGUUGGAUGAGAUCUAUCAUGUAAUCGAGUUAGUUUUGUUAGGGUUUGAUCCCUAGUAUCCACUAUGUUCUGAGAUUGAUGUUGCUAUGACUUUGCUAUGCUUAAUGCUUGUCACUAGGGCCCGAAUGCCAUGAUUUCAGAUCUGAACCUAUUAUGUUUUCAUGAAUAUAUGUGAGUUCUUGAUCCUAUCUUGCAAGUCUAUAGUCACCUACUAUGUGUUAUGAUCUGGCAACCCCAAAGUGACAAUAAUCGGGACCACUCCCGGUGAUGACCAUAGUUUGAGGAGUUCAUGUAUUCACUAUGUGCUAAUGCUUUGUUCCGGUACUCUAUUAAAAGGAGGCCUUAAUAUCCCUUAGUUUCCAUUAGGACCCCGCUGCCACAGGAGGGUAGGACAAAAGAUGUCAUGCAAGUUCUUUUCCAUAAGCACGUAUGACUAUAUUCGGAAUACAUGCCUACAUUACAUUGAUGAAUUGGAGCUAGUUCUGUGUCACCCUAUGUUAUGAUUGUUACAUGAUGAACCGCAUCCGGCAUAAUUCUUCAUCACCGAUCCAAUGCCUACGAGCUUUUUACAUAUUGUUCUUCGCUUAUUUACUUUUCCAUUGCUACUAUUACAAUCACUACAAAACCCAAAAAUAUUACUUUUGCUACCGUUACCGUUAUUUCCAUACUACUUUGCUACUAAAUACUUUGCUGCAGAUAUAAAGUUAUCCAGGUGUGGUUGAAUUGACAACUCAACUGCUAAUACUUGAGAAUAUUCUUUGGCUCCCCUUGUGCCGAAUCAAUAAAUUUGGGUUGAAUACUCUACCCUCAAAAACUGUUGCGAUCCCCUAUACUUGUGGGUUAUCAGCGGUAUACAAGGUGGUGGCACUAAUGAGAAGAAAUGUGGAAGGGCAAGGAUCCUCCAAUGAAGGGUGCAGAGUGCAAACAGAGAACCAUACUAAUGAGAAGAAAUGUGGAAGGGCAAGGAUCCUCGAAUGAAGGGUGCAGAGUGCAAACAGAGAACCAUGUCGCCAUUUCAGACUUCAAGCUCCGUGACAUCGCAUCGCUGCUAUAGGUGACAGACCACAAGGGCUCAUCGAGCCUUGCCAAGAUGGACGCCUGCGUCACCAUCAAGUAAGUGCUCAAAACGUCUUAAAGCCUUUAUUGUGAGAUCAUAGCCCUCCCUCCACCCAAUUAGCUUCUGAUGCGUGAGAUUUAACUGAAUUUUGUGCCAACUGAACUGCAUAUUCCAAUCAGUUUGCUUGUAUGACAUGUUUCAGCAGCCUCUUCUACCCAUUCAUGAAGAACCAACGGCAAGGUCAUCAUUCCUCGCCCCUUCAAGGUCACUGGGAACCUCCUCAAGUAAGAACGGUGAUAGUGUUAAUGUUGAGAACAAUAAUUUGGGCCCAUUUCUAUUUUGACAGUUAUUUUCUUAUGGAAUGGCCCCUUGCUGUUGUGGUAAAGCUGUUGCCUUGUGACCAAGAGGUCAUGGGUUUGAGUCCUGGAAACAGCCUCUUGCAGAAAUGUAGGAAAAGGCUGCGUACAAUAGACCCAAAGUGGUCGGACCCUUCCCCGGACCCUGCGCAAGUGGGAGCUACAUGCACCAGGCUGCCCUUUUUAAUGGCCCCUUGCUAUAUGUGCUUGCAAGUCCUAUGCCAUGAGAAAGUGUAGGUAAUAAUGAAGUGGUACCAUUCUUUCAGAACUUGAGCAUGUAUUUUUGUAUCAACAUAAAUUCUGAGUGUUAGGGCAUGUUAUCCCCCCAUACAACAGCUGGCAUCUGAACAUGUCUACCUGAAUGUUCCUAUCAUCCCAUGAUUUGUUAUAAAUCUGUUAAACCAACGCAUCAUCAGCAUCAUCAUGACACUAUACACUAUUCAGCAAGGACGGUAAUUAGCAAUACAACAACCUACUUUCUAAUAAAAUAAAUUUAUAGCUAUUAGCUUAAUGUUUCAUUUCAAACUUAAUUUGGAAUUUGUCAUCUGAAGUGGUUUGGGGUUGACGGGGAGUACAAGUUCAUGGCCAUUAUCUUGGUCCAAGUCCGGACGAAUUAUUCAACUAUUGCAAUAGAAAAUGCACUCCCUAAACAAUAUUUUUUGCAUGCUGAUCAAACGGUGAUUUUUUUCUUACCGUAUCUUAUCAUUUUGACUAUUAAUGUUGUACCACAUGUCUGAUAGAAUACCACUGAAAAUGUUUAUCUUCAAACUAAAAUCUUAUGAAUCCUUAUUUAGUUGUUUUUACCACCAAGGAAAGGUAAUGAAAAUUUUCUGUAUAGAUUGGCAAGGUAGAUUGCCUACAUUCGAGGGCUUUCUUGGUCGUGACAUAAAGACGAAUAACUUGUGGUCUUAGGCCGUAAAGCCAGUCAGGUUUCUGCCAUUCAUGCACAUUUUCUGGUACAACUGAUUUAUCACUUCUCUUCACUUUGGAAAUUUUUGUUAGUGCUCUACACAAUCUAGCCUCCAGCAUGGAUUUGUAUUUCCAUUUAUCGACCUUUAGUGAAGGAAAGUUUAGAUCUGCAUGAAGAACGCUUUUCAAUCAUCUACUUAACAAAACGUAAAUCCUUUGCCGGUAAAAUAUAUGGAUGUUAUAUAUAAGUCUCAGCGCUAUCCGUUAUUUUAUAUAAUUCUAAAUUCAUAACUGAACAAUUAAUUUAAUGUUGUAAAUAAAAUAAGUGCCAAUGUAUUUAAUUUCAGAGGGAUGCCAAGGUAGCAACUAAGUGGCAGAUUAUUUGCAGCCUAAGGAUAUCAUUCUAGAGUCUUUUGGUUGCAAACUAGAUUAAUAUUUCAUUGACCUCUAAGUAAGUUUUCCUCUAAUUAUUCAUUUUAGAGUCUUUUGUUGCAAACUAGAUUAAUAUUUCAUUGACCUCUAAGGGUGUGUUUGGUUGAGGAACCAACUGUCACGGAAUGGAAUGGUUCCAUUCCAGAGGAACAGGUCGGUUCCGUUAAUGUGUUUGGUAGGUGCAAAAAAGUAGAAUGGGUUGGUUCUGUCUCAAUGUUUGGUUUCGAAGAAUGGAAUGAAAAAUAGAAUAACAAAAAUUCAAAAUUUUGGCAGCAUUUCAUUUGUAUUUUCAAGAAAAACAACAUAACAAUAUAUAUUGACAUAGAACUCAUUUUUCAGCAAUGAAGUAGCAAGUUUAUUUGGCACAUACACAAGCAAUCAAGUAGCAAGGUCAUUUGGCACAUCCAAAAGCAAUCAGCCUCCGCGUCUAGCUGCUGAUCCAGACCUUCUGCAACACCCCCGGUCGCCGUUGCGUGGUAGCCGCCCCGCUGCUUCGUCGCUGCUGCUUGGACCGUGGCCGAACUGCUUCGUCGCUGCUGCUUGGACCGUGGCCGAACUGCUUCGUCGCUGCUGCUUGCUAGGUCGCCGCUGUCGGUGUCAAAACCGGCGGAUCUCGGGUAGGGGGUCCCGAACUGUGCGUCUAGGGCGGAUGGUAACAGGAGGCGGGGACACAAUGUUUACCCAGGUUCGGGCCCUCUCAAUGGAGGUAAUACCCUACUUCCUGCUUGAUUGAUCUUGAUGAUAUGAGUAUUACAAGAGUUGAUCUACCACGAGAUCGUAGAGGCUAAACCCUAGAAGCUAGCCUAUGAUUAUGAUUGUUGUUGUCCUACGGACUAAACCCUCCGGUUUAUAUAGACACUGGAGGGGGCUAGGGUUACACAGAGUCGGUUACAAGGGAGGAGAUAUACAUAUCCGAAUUGCCAAGCUUGCCUUCCACGCAAAGGAGAGUCCCACCCGGACACGGGACGAAGUCUUCAAUCUUGUAUCUUCAUAGUCCAACAGUCCAGCCAAAGUACAUAGUCUGGCUGUCCGAGGACCCCUUAAUCCAGGACUCCCUCAGUAGCCCCUGAACCAGGCUUCAAUGACGAUGAGUCCGGCGCGCAGAUUGUCUUCGGCAUUGCAAGGCGGGUUCCUCCUCUGAAUACUCCAUAGAAGAUUUUGAACACAAGGAUCGUGUCGGGCUCUGCAAAAUAAAUUCCACAGACCACCGUAGAGAGUAUAAUAUUCCACAAAUCUAAUCUGCUGACAAGUUUCAUAGUGUGACAUCACGCCACGACCCGGUCAUUAUUCGAACCGUUUUUCCCAACCAGCUACUGCACAUAUUGCGAGGAGGUUUUCUUGGCACGUCUUGUUGAAGCAGAGAUCGCGUCCCCUUAUCACGGGAUUCUCAUCAAUACGGGUGUGGGUAACCCAACCGUGCCAUCAAUUACGGCGCUUGGGGAAUACGCGGGUUUACCAGGCAAGUGGGGAGGCGCACAGUUUCUACUGCCUUUAUAAAGGGACAAGGACUCCUCUUUCUCACCCACGCCUUCUCCUUCCCCUGCCCAUCCAUUCUCACGCGCUCGAGCUCCAGCGCCCAAGUUCGCUUUUUCUCCACAAAGCCAUUCCAAACAUGUCCGGAGCGGGGGGCAAGUGGAUGGUCUCCUCCGUUAUGGAGGAGGACAUUACGAAGCUCCGGGAAGCCGGAUACCUGGCCGCAGACAUCGUGCACCGGCUCCCAGACGCAGGGCAGAUCGUCCCUACUCCAGAACCCCAUGAGAGGGUGGUAUUUCUUACCCACUUCGUCCGCGGACUGGGAUUUCCCCUCCACCCGUUUGUCCGCGGGCUCAUGUUUUACUAUGGGCUGGACUUCCAUGAUCUGGCCCCUAACUUCAUCCUCAACAUCUCGGCAUUUAUCGUCGUGUGCGAGGCCUUCCUUCGCAUCAAGCCCCACUUCGGCCUAUGGCUGAAGACCUACAACGUGAAGCCAAAAGUGGUAGUCGGUCAGCAGGCGGAGUGCGGAAGCGCCAUGGUGGGAAAAAUGCCCAACGUCACCUGGCUCGAAGGCUCCUAUGUGGAGACUGUGAAGGGGUGGCAAUCGGGGUGGUUCUACAUCACCGAGCCGCGCGACACCAACUGGGUGGCGGCCCCCGAAUUUUGAUCCGGCAUCCCCAUGCGGCUCACCUUCUGGAAAGAGAAGGGCCUGUCCUGGGGUUCGUCGGUGGAGCUGACCGGACUACAGAAAUGUAUCAAGAACAUGAUAAGCAAGAAAAUCAAGCUUGUCAACGUGGUCCAGGUCAUGCUCUUCCGCCGAAUCCUUCCGUGCCAAAGACGGGCAUUCAAUAUGUGGGAGUUUGACCUGGCCGAGCACCAGAUGCUGCGAGAGCUUUUUGACACGACGCACAAGGACGUCUGGAAGGUGCUGUUCAAGGGCGCCGAGGUACCUCCUCCCCUUACCGAGGAUCGCGGACUCAGCACAAAGCGCCCUGCCAAUCCGGUAAGUCUUUUAUAUCUCAUAAGAUGUUUCUUUCCCCCGUAUAAUCAUGCGUGGGAUCUAAGCCUCCACGCCAUUUAACAGGACUGGGUAGCGACAGUGGAGCAGAUCGAUUGUCCAGCCCCCCUGCCCGAAGAUCCAGCAGAUGCUCUCCUAACGGAGAUGCUGGUUCUAGCGCCUUAUGAGGCGCCGGAGAAGAAGGCCAAGAAGAAGGCCACGGGGACCAGGAAAGAUCUCCGGCGCAAGGUUAUAUCAGACUCAUCGUCCGAAAACACCGAGGCGCACUCCUCCCAUGAAGACGAGGAGGAGGAAGAGGAAAGUUCUCCCCCCAGCCCGGGGGACAGGAAAAGGAAGGCUGCCCCAUCAGGGGAGGCCGAAGGGUCCAAGAAGGGAAGGACCCUCCUUCCGGACUGCUCCACGACGGCCACUUUCAGCGACGAGGAGUGGUUACCCAGGGACAAGCCCCUGGCAAAGUCGUGAGUAUCCGGAUACCAUAAUAGUUCUUGGUAUGUUUUAUUUUAUUACUUCUUAUCACGCCGAACAUGAUUAUGCAGUCCAUCCCGAGCCCGUAUCGAUGUAUCUUCUUCGGAUGAUUCUUUGGGCCCGUCGGAUAUGAACAUCGAUUCACUCCCGACCGCCUCCUCCCCCCGCCCUACGGACGACGCCGAGGUGUUGUCUCAAAGGGCACUGAACCAAGGGGAGACAGUUCCGGAGGAGCCCCAAGGCGACAUUCCAGGCACUGGGCGCACGAGGGGCAAGACUCCCCUGGGCCCUAACGCCGGGGGCAGCAAGUCUAGCCCCCAGCCGAAUACUGCGCCGGAACCUCCAGUGGUUCCGGAUUCUGUCAGACAACCCCUCGCUAAGGGGGGCAAGCCGUCUGUGCCGAUGGCCUCUGUCCAUCUAGAGGCAUCGGACAACUUGCUGGAAGCGCUUUGUGACGCUUCCAUUGACGAAGAGCACCGCACUAUUAUGAGUGCGGUGGUCAAGAAGGUUCAAUCCGCCAAGAGCGGACUGACUGAAGCCUGUGCCAGCCUCCUAACAGGCUUUGAGGUAAGUAAUCAAAUUAUAAGAAAAUGUUACAACAUAGACAGUAGCCCCUGAUGCUCUGUUUGGCAUUCGCGAAGAAAGGCCGAAUAGAGGACCAAAUAAUAAUCGCAGGAGUCUAAUCAGAAUGUGUCUAUGUGAAUAAGCAGGCUUCACUGCUGGCCGCUGCCGCUCGUACUGCGGAGGUCGCUGCACUGAAGCGGGACCUUGAGCGGUCCAAGGAGGAGCUCGGCCUUACCAAGAGGCAGCUCGAAGAGAACAAAGGUAGGUGAUACCCCCUCUGUAUAUUAAUAAAGAAAAAUGUGGUUGUUGAAUAAUAGGAUCGUCAUGAAUUUUGCUAGGGGCCACGACCGAAGUGGCGGCCCUGAAGAAGGCGCUAUCCGAGGCCGAAGACAAAGCGGCCAAGGAGCGCAUCGAGCGAGAGAAGCAAGAGGCCCGAGUUGGCGAGGUGCAGCAAGAGCUCCAGGCUUUCGUCGAGAAAUACGAGUCCUUGGAGCGUGACUCUAAGACGCAAGGGUCCGAGCUUGCGAAGGCCCUCGAAAACGCACAAAAUGCCAAGGCCGAAGCCCAAAAGGCCCUCCAGGAGAUUCAGGCGGUUAAGAAGAUAGCGGCGGGUAAGGCAUUCAUUAUGCAAAGCAAGCAUGUGAAGGAAACUUUCCUUUUACUUACCCGAGUUCGGAGCUCUCCACGAGCGUUCGCAGAUCUACCCAGCAGUGUGUCGGAUGCCGCGGAGUUCUACCGGGCCGAGGAAGGGAGCUCGACGAAGAAGUUGUUCUGGUCUUAGUAUACUGGGACCGAACAUCCGAUGCCCUUGAGCGACCAGUUGAAGCAACUGGUCGAGCUUCACAAGGCGGCCGAACAGGCCAUGAAGGGUCUCAUAGUCCGGAUGUGGCCUGGCGAGCCCCUGCCUGGCAGCUACUUCGGUCUGGUAAGGCGGCUUGUUAAUGCCUGCCCACGGCUUGAAGUCAUCAAGCGGUCCGUCUGCAUUGAGGGUGCGCGCAGGGCCUUUCCCCGGGCGAAAGUGCACUGGGCGAAGAUGGACGCCGAAAAGCUGGUGAAGGAAGGGCCGCCGGAGGGCAAGGAGCAUCGCCACCCCAAAAAGUAUUAUGACAGUGUCCUGAAGGGUGCUAAGGAUGUAAUAUUUGAAUGAAUGUACUCAUGUGAUCCCGUAAUAUGAAACGAGUUCAUCUGCGCUAUGCAACGCUUGUUAAUUUAAAAUAUUACCUUCUAUGCGGUCGUUUAUAAAAUCUGAGAGUUGGCCAGUCAUCGGCUUCUGCCCCCAUGUAACUAGUACUGAGGUGUUCGGGAUAAACCUGAUCACUCUUUAUCCCAAUUUUGGGUCCUUCGAAGGAGGUGUUCAGCACAACGAACCCGGCAAUUGGACUAUAAAGCUUUAUCACUCUCACUUAGCCAUAGAAGUCUACAAUUUUAAAUUUUGGCGAAGCCCCUAGUAUUUGGAAGGCCGAAUUUGGGGCGCUAUAUACGCCUAAAUCGGACAAGGCAGACUCCUCGCCCGAAGCGGAAAAAAUCUUUAAGGAUUUGAGACCUCUCAAACAGCGACUAGCUCUCGCCGCAUCAUGACAGUCAGUUUUCGGCUUUCUCUACUGAGGUGCUUGUCCGGAAGAACCGGGACACAAUCGCAGUAGUUCUCCCAGUGCUACCUUAGCCGAUAUAGCGGAACGUAAGGUACCAAAACAUGGGAGCCGGGCAAACCCAACUAUUGACCCAAGACAUGAUUCGGAGCUGAUGCAUAUAAUGCUAUAAGUUCAGGGUGCCGCACUGUCGAAAGAGUUCGGACUUUUCGUGCCGUGUUAUGGGGUACACUGAAGCCCCUGGCGCACUGGUCGUACCAGAAUGUACGAGUGCCACUUGUCGUAAAUAAGCAGACAAGGAAAAAAAAGAAAUGCAAUAAUAGGCUAACGCUAUACAUUGUUAUUUAAAUAAUACGUCAAAGCGUACGUAUACAAGUAGUGCAAUAAGCAAAAAAUAGGACUAUUUGACAUAUCCUAUCCAAGGGCAAGCUGCGUAUGGGUAUGUAAAAACAGGUACAUCGAUCAUUAUCAGAGACCACCUGGGAAUUCCCUUGUACGUCAGAGCUUCUUGCUUCCUUGGUAUUUCCUUCCCGUAAUGAGUCAACAAUCAGACUGCCGGGGAGGGCUUCCAGAGGGUAAGGUCCUGAAAGAGAAAAAAUGAUAAAGGUAUACGGUCCCUGGGGCGGUUGAGCCGCAUUGUGGGCCGUGCCAUAGCCGUGCCUCCGCCUAUGCCCAUGGUUUCUUGAGUGCGUAGUUAUGUACGCGCGGCACAAAUUUCGCCGCUUGACUGGGACUAUGACGGAGGCCGAAUUGCUACCCGAGCUCUGAACGUGCCUGGAGAUCCUUUUGCAGGUUACUCCGGACUCGCUUGAAGGUGUCCGGGGGCCUUUUCGCCGAAUUGGCGGUUGGCCUCAGAAGGCUGCUUUGUGCUUCCACUGCGAGGGCUGUAGUGUGCUCCUCCGUGCGGAGCGAGCGUUCUGUGUUUCCAUUAACUGUUAUAACUCAGCGAGGUCCUGGCAUUUUGAGCUUGAGGUAUGCAUAAUGCGGUACCACAUUGAAUCUAGCAAAUGCGGUUCGCCCGAGUAGUGCGUGAUAGCCACUACGGAAGGGGACGAUAUCGAAGAUUAACUCCUCGCUUCGGAAAUUGUCCGGAGAUCCGAAGACCACUUCCAAUGUGAUUGAGCCCGUGCAACAGGUCUCUACACCUGGUAUGACACCCUUGAAGGUGGUUUUUGUGGGUUUGAUCCUUGAGGGGUCUAUACUCAUUUUGCGCACUGUAUCCUGAUAGAGCAGGUUCAGGCUGCUGCCAUCGUCCAUAAGGACUCGAGUGAGGUGAAAUCCGUCAAUGAUGGGAUCAAGAACCAAUGUGGCAGAACCGCCAUGACGGAUACUAGUGGGGUGGUCCCUGCGAUCGAAAGUGAUCGGACUAGAAGACCAUGGGUUGAACUUUGGGGCGACUGGCUCCAUCGCAUAGACGUCCCUUAGUGCACGCUUCCGUUCCCUCUUGGGAAUAUGGGUUGCGUAUAUCAUGUUCACCGUUUUCACGUGGGGAGGAAAUUUCUUUUGUCCUCCUGUGUUCGGCGGCCGGGGCUCCUCCUCAUCGUUGCUAUGCAGCCCCUUUUCCUUGUUUUCGGCAUUCAACUUGCCGGCCUGUUUGAACACCUAGCAUUCUCUGUUGGUGUGGUUGGCUGGCUUAUCGGGGGUGCCAUGAAUUUGACACGAGUGAUCGAGUAUGCGGUCCAAAAUGGACGGGCCCGGAUUGCUUCUUUUGAACGGCUUUUUCCGCUGACCGGAUUUAGAGCCACUGAAUCCGGCAUUGGCUGCCGUGUCUUCGGCGUUGUCGCCGUUGUUGCGGCGCUUGUGUCUGUUGCGACGUGGUCUGCCGUUAGUAUCUUUGGCAUCUGAAUUGCCAGGAUUUCUUGAUGUGUUGUUGCUGCGAGCCAGCCAGCUGUCCUCGCCCGCACAAAAGCGGGUCAUGAGUGUCGUGAGGGCUGCCAUGGACUUCGGCUUCUCUUGGCCGAGGUGUCGGGCGAGCCACUCGUCACGGAUGUUAUGCUUAAAUGCCGCUAAGGCCUCGGCAUCUGGAUAGUCGACAAUUUGGUUCUUUUUAGUUAGGAACCGAGUCCAGAAUUUCCUGGCCGAUUCCCCUGGCUGUUGGGUUAUGUGGCUCAAGUCAUCAGCAUCCGGUGGUCGCACAUAAGUGCCCUGGAAGUUGUCAAGGAAUGCAUCUUCCAAAUUCUCCCAACUGCCAAUGGAGUUUGCUGGCAGGCUAUUCAGCCAAUGCCGAGCUGGUCCUUUGAGUUUUAGUGGGAGAUACUUGAUGGCAUGUAGAUCGUCACCGCGGGCCAUGUGGAUGUGGAGGAGGAAAUCCUCGAUCCAUACCGCGGGGUCUGUUGUACCAUCGUAUGACUCAAUGUUCACGGGUUUAAAUCCUUCUGGGAAUUCGUGAUCCAUCACUUCAUUAGUGAAGCAUAGGGGGUGUGCGACGCCUCUGUGCCGGGCUAUGUCAUGACGCAGUUCAUACGAGUCUUGUCUGCUGUAUUCGGCCCGACCAGAUUUGCUUUUAGUGUAUCCGGUGUGACGAUCGCCGUCACGCGUUGGGGCGCACCCCCGUGAUCCGUAGAUCGAUCUUGUAUGUCCUGCUUUGUUUUCCAAUACGUCUCGAAGGUCCUGCUUGUUGCCCCGGGCCUCGGUGUUUUUGUUUGACUGGCGACGGGGUGCGGGCUGGACUUCGGGCUGAUAUGCCGCUCUGUCUCGGCCACGAGGUGGCCGAUCAGCCGGUGCUUGGGUUGCUUAUCGGAGGGAUUAUCCUCCGUUGCCUUAUCGCCCUUGCCUUCUUUGGGGGUGUCCACCAUGUAUAUAUCAUAUGAUGAGGUGGCCGUCCAGCGCCCUGUGGGCGGUGGUUCCUGUUCGUCUCCUGCAUCGUCGUCCAUACCGUCGAUGUCUUCGGAGCCGAAAUCGAGCAUGUCGGUUAAGUCGUCGACAGUGGCUAUUAAGUGGGUGGUGGGUGGGGAACGAAUUUCUUCGUCGUCCGCUUCCCACUCAAGCCGGGCAUAGUUCGGCCAAGGGUCUCCUGACAAGGAGAGAGACCUCAAUGAAUUUAGCACGUUGCCCAGGGGCGAGUGCUGAAAGAUAUCCGCAGAGGAAAACUCCAUGAUCGGUGCCCAAUCAGAUUCGAUAGGCACGGACGCAAGCGGUUCGGAGCCCGUGGCCGGGGGCGAAUCCAAGUGUCCGACAACACAUGUCUCAUAGGAGGUGAAGUUAGCAUUCGGCUCUAUCGCCGCUGAGUGCGCGGCCUCCAUGGCGGGGUCUAUCCACCCGUCCUCGGAAGGCACGAUCUACUCCGGAUUGAGGGCCGGAGUAGACGCAGGUGUGAUCUCCCGAACACUGUCCGACGGCAGAGCUAAGUCGUGCUCGUCGUGACUGUGCGGCGCACCUGACAUGGGCUCGAAUCCGUCGAAGAUCAAGUCUCCGUGGAUGUCGGCAGUAUAGUUCAAGCUUCCGAACCUGACCUGAUGGCCAGGGGCGUAGCUUUCGAUCUGCUCCAGAUGGCCAAGGAAGUUGGCCCGCAGUACGAAGCCGCCGAAUACGAAGAUCUGUCCGGGGAGAAAAGCCUCACCCUGGAUUGCAUCGUUGCCGAUGAUCGAAGGAGCCAUCAAGCCUCUAUCGCGAUAGCACAGUGGAACUCAAUGAAAGCACCAAUGUCGGUGUCAAAACCGGCGGAUCUCGGGUAGGGGGUCCCGUACUGUGCGUCUAGGGUGGAUGGUAACAGGAGGCGGGGGACACAAUGUUUACCCAGGUUCGGGCCCUCUCGAUGGAGGUAAUACCCUACUUCCUGCUUGAUUGAUCUUGAUGAUAUGAGUAUUACAAGAGUUGAUCUACCACGAUAUCGUAGAGGCUAAACCCUAGAAGCUAGCCUAUGAUUAUGAUUGUUGUUGUCCUAUGGACUAAACCCUCCGGUUUAUAUAGACACCGGAGGGGGCUAGGGUUACACAGAGUCUGUUACAAGGGAGGAGAUCUACAUAUCCGAAUUGCCAAGCUUGCCUUCCACUCAAAGAAGAGUCCCACCCAGACACGGGAUGAAGUAUUCAAUCUUGUAUCUUCAUAGUCCAACAGUCCGGCCAAAGUACAUAGUCCAGCUGUCCGAGGACCCAUUAAUCCAGGACUCCCUCAGCCGCCAUGGUGCAGAUGCGCGCCAUCACAGAGGAGACGGCGGGAGGAAGGUGAAGCCGAGCAGGGGAGGGAUGGAGAAGGCAGAUCGAGAGAGGGGGAGAAGCGGGAGGGUGGCGGCGCUAGUCAGGGAGCAGCGAGAGAGGGGGAGCAGCGAGCAUAACUUGCUCGGAUGAAGGCGGAACACAAACAGUUUGCAGCGCUCGGUGUCUCACGAAUCUGCCAGCAGCAUAGGUCCUUCUCAAACGGGCUUGUCUUGCCCAACCGGACAUUGACGCACACUUUGAGAGCAAUUUCAUCUCUCAACUUGCACCGUCCGCCGACAGGGGAUAACGGCGGCGCCUGUGUCGGUGAAGGCGGUAGGUCGUUGGCACAUGUGUUAUUUGAGGCCAGAGCUAGGACGAUUGCGAUGAGAAGUAGGGCACAAGAGGAUUUUAUGGCUUUGGUGUUGGUGGUCGCCAUUGUCGCUGAUCCUUGCUUGUUGUGUGGGUGAGCGGAUGGAUGCUUUUGCAUGUGGAGACUUGGAAUGUAUUUAUAGGAUGCAUGUGAAAUUGUUAGGCAAGGCGAUUAGUACUCCCGCACGUAGAGACUACGACCCAUCAUGGCUCACGCCAAAGAAUAGUAUAUUUUAGGCAGUUCAUCGAAUGUGGUAUCGGACUAAUUUAGUUCUUUUUGAAGUCUUAAUUAAUACAAGAGUACAAUAAGAAAUUAUGCUAUAGAUGAAAUGGCUACUAAUGGCGCACCAGACAUGUGGUGCGCCACUACUAUGUAGCAGUGGCGCACCAUGUGCUGGUGCGCCAUUAGUGUGAAAGACACUAAUGGCGCACCAGACACACGGUGCGCCACUAGUAACAAUUUUUUUUCCAAACAUACUAAUGGCGCACCAGGGCACAGUGCGUCAUUACUAGUUCUAACUAGUAAUGGCGCACCAGCCUCAUAGUGCGCCACUACUAUAUAUUUUUUUUUGCAAAACUACUAAUGGCGCACCAGUGUAUAGUGCGCCAUUACUAGUUUAAACUAGUAAUGGCGCACUGUGCCCUGGUGCGCCAUUAGUGUAUAUAAUUUUUUUUUGCAAAACUACUAAUGACGCACCACCAGCAGGUGCGCCAUUAGUAACCAGGGUUACUAAUGGCGCAUUUGUAGGUGGUGUGCCAUUAGUAACCUGGGGCAGCUAGAUAUUUUGGACAGCCACACCUACCCACUCACUUUCCCCACUUCAUUCUCUCCACCUCCUCCUCCAAGCUUGUCUCGGCUGCCUCCUCCUCCUCACCUCAUUUGCACCAUAAAUUCAUCCAAAUUAAGUGGUUAAAUUACCUUUUUUUGAUAGGUAAGUAAGGGGGAAGCUAUCUUUAUGUUGUUCUCCCUCCAACAACGUGCACAUGCACUUUUUAUGGCCUAGCUAGAUCUAUGUAUGUUUGUGGUGUUGCAUAUGUUUGUGGUGUUGCAUAUAUGUUUGUGUUUGCAGGUACCGGUAUUUGAAAUGCGAUAGUUGCCAAUAUUUUGCCGGAAUGUUGAUUCAUUUCCGUUUCGGCGAGAAUUUUGGCACUAUGCAUUCUUUUUUGUCCUAUUUUUAGGGAAAGUCAUGCCAAAUUUUUUCUUGGUUCUAAAAUAUCGUUUUGCUCUACCCCGCAGGUGACCAUGGUCCGCACGAUAACCGAAGGCAUCGUGAAUAGGUUUUUGAGCUCUGCGAAGGCCGAGAUGCUUGAAAAGAACAAGAUGGAGAUAAGAUGUCCGUGUCGAAGUUGCAAGCUGAAGAGCCUUAUUGCGGACCCGGAUUCCGGGCAGGUGCGGGACCACUUGCUUUUGCGUGGUUUCAUGGAUGGCUAUCGGUGGCAAGGUGAUGAAGAUGACUAUGAAGUCGUCCAUGGGGGCCGGGCAAGAAAUGAGGAAGGGCAGCAAGACAACCACCGCGGCUCGGGCGGGCGAGAAGACGAAGAAUCUCCAGGACAUGAUCACGACGGUGAUGCUGUACACAGUCAUCAUGUAGAAGAUGCCGGACAUGAUGAUGAGGAAGAUGCGGGAGCAGACGAAGGGCAUGAUCAUGAAGAUGAAGAUGCCGGCGGAGCAGACGACGAUGGACCAUCGAUGGGCUGGGUGCAGGACCCUCAUAUUCAAGAGCUGCUUCUCAAGCAGACGGAUAACGCAAGAGCUGCCGCCCGAGAGAAAGCCAAGCUGGAUCAACUGGAGAUAGACGUGGUUACUCCAUUGUAUGAAGGAUGCAGGCCCGAGGAUACCCGCCUGAAAGUAACUCUCAUGGCUCUGGAGAUGAAGGUAAAACACAAAAUGACCGACGCAUGCUUCGACGAGAACAUGUCAUUCUGGCACGAACGUCUUCCCAAGGGGAACAAGUGCCCGACCAGUUUCGAGGAGGCGAAGAAAAUCGUGUGUCCUCUGGAUUUACCGCACGUGAAAUACCAAGUGUGCAUGAACAAUUGCAUCAUUUAUCGGGACGAGCACGUGGAGUCUACCAUAUGUCCGGUGUGCGGCGUCACUCGAUACAAGAAGAGGAAGAAAGCUCCUCGAAAAGUGGUGUGGUACUUUCCGAUCACUCCUCGUCUGCAGCGGUAUUUCGCGGACCCUAAGGUAGCAAAGCUCCUGCGUUGGCACGCGGAUAGGGAGGAGAAGAAGCGAGAAGAUGACGCAAAUGAUCCGGAGAUAAAUAAAAAAGACAAGAUGCUGAGUCACCCUAAGGAUGGGAGCCAGUGGCAAGCGUUGAACUUCGAACACCCAGAAUUUGGGAAGGAUCCAAGGAACAUCGUGCUGGGCGCGAGCACCGAUGGAGUCAAUCCGUUUGGCAGCCAGAGAAGCACACAUAGCACCUGGCCUGUGUUUGUGUGGAUGUACAACCUUCCCCCCUGGUUGUGCAUGAAGAGGAAGUACAUUCACAUGAGUAUGCUAAUUGAAGGGCCGAAACAACCAGGGAACGACAUCAAUCUGUAUCUGGGGCUGCUGAAAGAGGAGCUAGACAUGCUGUGGAAAACGCCAGCCAAUACGUGGGACGCCGCAGAGAAAGAAUAUUUCCCUAUGAGAGCCGCACUGCUCACGACGGUGCACGACUAUCUCGGUUACGGAUAUCUCGCGGGGCAGGUGGUCCACGGAUUUUCUGGAUGCGUCAGGUGUAUGGAUGACACAACGUAUCGCCGGCUAGAUAGAGAUCCUGGGUCUUCGAAAACCGUGUUCAUGGGACCCGAAGGUGGCUUCGCGACGAUGACCCGUGGAGGAAACGCAAGGAUCUGUUCGAUGGUGAAACCGAACCCCGAAGACGCCCGCGUACGAGGAGCGGCGAGGAAAUAGACGAGCUUUUGAAAAAUUGGAAAGAUUGCCCAGUGCCGAGAAAGAAGCAAAAGGCGCCAGAGCCGGGAAAGAAGCGAAAGGCGCCAGAGCCGCUGCUGAAGGUAUGGAAAAUGAGGUAUGUUUUCUGGGACUUGCCGUACUGGAAGAUCCACCAUGUGCCUCACAGCCUUGAUGUCAUGCAUAUCACGAAGAACGUGUGCGAGAGUCUGCUUGGUACCCUGCUCAACAUGCCAGAGAGGACCAAAGAUGGGCCGAAAGCAAGGGCAGACUUGAAAUCAAUGGGCAUCGGGGAGGAGCUUCACGCUAAUGAUGAUGAUGAUGAGGCGAGGCAGGACACGGAAAGUCGUCGCAAAGGCAAAAAGGCCAAGAAGACCGGAAAUGACUUCCCUCCCGCGUGCUUCACUCUAAGUCAGGAGGAGAUCGAUCAGUCUUUCACCUGCCUCGUAGGAGUAAAACUUCCUUACGGUUACGCGGAGAAGAUAAGCAGAUACCUAGACUCAGCGAAGCAGAAGUUCAGCGGGAUGAAGUCUCACGACUGUCACGUGCUGAUGACGCAGAUACUUCCAGUUGCAAUCCGUGGGAUCAUGGACGCGCACGUCCGUGAAACGCUAUUUGGCCUAUGCAACUUUUUCGACGUCAUCUCUCGGAAGUUGGUUGGCGUGAGGCAACUCAGAAGUCUACAGGAAGAGAUCGUGGUGAUACUAUGCGAGCUUGAGAUGUACUUCCCGCCCGCAUUCUUCGACGUUAUGGUGCAUCUGCUGGUCCAUAUCGUGGAGGAUAUCAUCCAACUCGGGCCGACGUUCCUGCACAGCAUGAUGCCAUUUGAAAGGAUGAAUGGUGUCAUCAAAGGAUACGUUCGCAACAUGUCACGUCCAGAGGGAAGCAUAGCCAGGGGCUUUCUGACCGAAGAGUGCAUCUCCUACUGCACGAAUUAUUUAGGCAUCGAGAACCCCGUUGGUCUGCCCGUCAACAGGCACCUCGGCAGGCUCGCUGGAUGGGGUCACCGUGAGGGUCGCCGCGAAAUGCAUGUCGACUUCGAGGGUCGACUCGCCGACUUUGAAAGAGCAAACCUAGUCACGCUACAACACAUAGACGUGGUCGAUCCUUGGGUGGUAGAGCACAAAACCUUUAUUGAGAAGACGUACAAUGACCGAGGCCAACAGAGGACGGACGGAGAUAUAAUCAAAGAGCACAAGUCAUGUUUCACGCGUUGGUUCAAGCAGAAGCUUCUACCGUACCCUUUACAUGAGGAUUCUUUCGCGGAAGAACAACUCAUAUUCGCCUUGUCACAGGGCACCGAGCACAACCUGAUGACGUACGAGGCGUACGAUAUCAACGGCUACACAUUCUACACUGAGGACAAGGAGAUGAAGAGCGAUGGUUAUCAGAACUCCGGGGUAACGAUGGAAUCCUACACCGGUAACGACAAGGACAGAUACUACGGAAGGAUCGAGGAGAUCUGGGAGCUGAGCUACGCUGGAGAGAAGGUCCCGAUGUUCCGUGUCAGAUGGGCCAAGAGCGUCAUAAAAGAAGACCGGUAUUUCACCACCAUGGUUAUACCCGAAGCCAAAUCCAAGACCGCAGGCGCGAACAUCACCGCGAAAAAUGAGCCAUGGGUACUGGCUUCCCAAGUGGACCAAUGCUUCUUCAUUACCGACCCGUCAAAGCCCAGUCGUGUUGUCGUGAGGAGAGGCAAAAGGAAGAUCAUCGGAAUGGAUGGAGUCGCCAAUGAGCAAGAGUUCGACAAGUACGGCGACCCGAAGAUGGAACAUGACGACGACGAUGAAGUAUCAGCAUACACCACAAGAAGAAGCAGGACCACCCUACCUAAAGGACGUCCGUUCAAGAGAAGAACUCCAUUUACGAAAAAUAAGGGCAAGAAGAUUGUGAACAGAUAGCUAGCUAAGAUCGAUUGUAUUUAAAUUCUAGCCUUCAUUUCUCGAUUGUAUUUCAUGGGCACUUUCUGAACUCAUGAAUAUUUUUAAAUUUCAUGGACACUCGAUCUCGAUCCCCCUCCAUCUUGAUCGCUAUCCCACCUCGCCAGAUCCGGUCCCCCUCGCCGCCGAGCACCCCCCCGCACCCUCUACCUCGCUCCACCGGCCGCCGCCGCCGACCCCCCGCACCCUCCCCUGCUCCACCGCCGCCGAUGACCCACCGCAUCCNNNNNNNNNNNNNNNNNNNNNNNNNNNNNNNNNNNNNNNNNNNNNNNNNNNNNNNNNNNNNNNNNNNNNNNNNNNNNNNNNNNNNNNNNNNNNNNNNNNNNNNNNNNNNNNNNNNNNNNNNNNNNNNNNNNNNNNNNNNNNNNNNNNNNNNNNNNNNNNNNNNNNNNNNNNNNNNNNNNNNNNNNNNNNNNNNNNNNNNNNNNNNNNNNNNNNNNNNNNNNNNNNNNNNNNNNNNNNNNNNNNNNNNNNNNNNNNNNNNNNNNNNNNNNNNNNNNNNNNNNNNNNNNNNNNNNNNNNNNNNNNNNNNNNNNNNNNNNNNNNNNNNNNNNNNNNNNNNNNNNNNNNNNNNNNNNNNNNNNNNNNNNNNNNNNNNNNNNNNNNNNNNNNNNNNNNNNNNNACCGUCACAAAUGAAUGCAACUAAAAUUGCAAAAAAAAAAUUUGAUUAUAUUUUCAAAUAACAAAUUUGAUGAUUUUUUCAAAUAAUAAAUUUGAUGAUAUUUUUUCAUAUUCAUAAAUAUUUUCAAAUAAAAAAUUUGAUGAUAUUUUUAAAAAAUUAUUACUGUUUUUAUAAAAAAUUAUUACUGUUUCAUAUUCAUAUUCAUUUUCUAAAAAAUUAUUAGAUGCAACAAAAAAUAAUUAAAAAAUUUACUUAUGGCGCACCUCUAGCUGGUGCGCCAUUGCUAUAAAAAAAGAUUACUAAUGGCGCACCGAUCGUGGGUGCGCCAUUGCUAUCUAAAAAAACAUUCUAAUGCGCACCGCUUCGGGGUGCGCCAUUAGUAAGUUCCCCCCUAGCUAAUUCCUCUCUCUCCCUCGCCAGUUCCCCUUCGUCCCUCUCCCUCGCCAGUCCACCCGCGCGCGCACCACCGUCCGCUCCCAAUCCGCGCCCCCGCCGCCUCCCUCUCCCCAUCCUUCCCUUCCUCCCCUCCGACCCCACCCCACUCUCGCCGGAGCAGCGCCGCAGGGCCGACACCAACCUCUCCCUCGCCCGCGCGUGCCGCAACCUCCGCCUCGCCGAGUCCGGAGCUGCUCGUGGAGGAGACGUGGCUGGAGGCGCUCUCCGGGGAGCUGCUCAAGCCCUACGCGCUCAACCUCUGCCGCUUCGUCGCCCUCGAGCGCCUGCACGCCAAGGUGCCCGUCUACCCGCUGCCCCACCUCAUCUUCCACGCGCUCCACACCAGGAAAUUCGCCGCCAUCCUGCAGCAAACGCAGCCUGCAAAUGCCCCGCUGGUAUAGGCAAUUAAAAUCCUUGCUGUUUUCAUGCUGUUCUUAGCUCUGUACUUUCCAGUUGUGCAAAUUUUAGGACUUGUUGGGUGAAUUUUAGGCAUAUGUGUUGUAAUUCAGAUGUUUACAAAUUUAGUGCCACACUGAGAUUUUGAUCCACCAUCACCAAGUUCAGUAAAUCUUAACUCUUAAUGUCAGAUUGUUAAUUCUGAAACUGUAAUUUCUGGAGUACAUGUGGAGUAGUAGGAUCUGAAGAUUUUGUGUAUCUAGAUGUCGUUGCUGGAGUACACCAUCUACCAAAGUCACUGCAAUCAAGAGUACACAAAGUCUAGAUAUGCACCCUGUUCCUGUUAAUUCUGAAACACACCCUGUUAGUUGCUACUCCAUCUAACAGUGCUGCCACCAUGUUCCUGUCCUGUUAAUCAAGAGUGCUACUCCAUCUAACUGCCAUGAGGGAUUAUGGUGACUUUGCAAUGCAAUGCCAGUACUACACCUGACGAUUUGCAAUGCCAGUGUGAAUUUGCAGUGCAAAAAAAUUGCCAGGUCUACACAAUUGUUGUUCUAGUUACUUUCGAAACAAGGAGAGCUUUAAUGUUGACUAGCAUGCUGAUAAAUUAUGAGAAAUUAAAGUUUCUCAGAUAUGCCAGCAAGAAAAUUCAUGUUGUUAAAUUCACUGAAAAUUCAGUUAAUUUGGCUUUACUGAAAACCUUACUGAAACUAAAUUCAGUUAGCUGGGUCAUCUUCCACUUGAGAGGCUGGAAUGAUAUCAGUGGCAAUUAUUUCCUAUGAUAUGAUGCAGCAGUAGUAGUAGUAUAUUGUGCUUAGGGCAUGAAUCAUAUGCAGCAGUAGUAGUAGUAUUUUGUGAUGAGGUUGGAGAUUAUGACCCCCAAACUAAAUCUCCUAGGACCACAAAUCAUACCAUCUCAUCCAUAUAAGAAGCUUGAACAGCACCUUAACAAUGAGGCACUACUAAUUGGGCUGCUGUUUCCUCCCCAAAAGAAGGCAUAUGUGUGUUGCUUCUCAACCCUGGUGCCUUGCAGGUGAGAUCACCUGCUUUACAGCUUUCUCUUGCUGCAUAGGAAAGGUAUUUUGCAGUGCUCAAGCAAAGUGAGGAUAGUUUUUGCAAAACAGCUGAAUGUAACUGAAUUUUUGAACACAUGAAUUGUAGAUAGAUUCAGUUAACUAAGAUUGGCAGAAUAUCUUGUUUCAAAUAUAGCCUAUGCAUGUCUUGUUUUCUGGUUAUGGAUAUUGUAUAGUACUGCAUAUCUUGUUUUUUUGUAAUAUAAUGCUUACCAAAGGUUUCAAUAUUUUGCUGUUACCAUUGUUCUUUGAGCAUAAUUCUUUUUCAUUUCCUACUAUCCUUAUUCUAAUUCUCUUAAAUUGCUAUGUUGUGUGUAAUAGAAUUAGAUCUUGGAUCUGCUAGUGGACUUUGGGAGUUUGUUAGCCAGCUUGGUGACUCUAGAUUUUUUCUGUGAUCUGUGGCUGGCAUCUAGACAGCACACACAUACAUACAGAGGCACAUUGUGAAUCACAGACAGCAGAGCACACGCACAUGACACAUGUAUCAUGUAUCAGUAGAGUAAUUUGUACAGUCACACCAACUGUUUGUAAAAUUGCAGUGUUGAAGAUGUGUAUUUUCCAUUUUGAAGCUGGAAAUAAACUGCCAAAACUGAAAAAAAAUUGGAGUGUUGAAGAUAUGCUAGUGCUGAAUUUUAGUAGUAGACUAAAAUAAAUUUUAGAAUGAUUGAAUGUAUGCAGCCUGCAGUAGUGUAGCUGUACCAAAAUCACAUCUGCCCUAAUGUAUGCAGUCAUGUUUUUAUGCCAUUCUUACUUGUCCACUGGGACUUCUCUCCUGUGAUGUCUGUUUUGUUUCUGCAAAAACCCAUUCAGUAGUGUGGGACUGUGGAUCAUUAGCAAGGAAGCCGUGCUUUAGUUCAAGACUUCAGAGAUAUUUGCCUUUGCUUCAAUAGGUAGUUUGCUCACAGUCUAAGUUGAGCUGAUUUUGUUGGGUGACCUAUUAGAUCUGGAAUGGAAUGGAAGCUCACAUAAGUUGAGCUGCUUUUUAUCCAUAUGAAAGCAGAGGACCAUAUGGUCUGUGGCCUUUUCAUCCAUAUGAAAGUAGAGGCACAUUGUGUUGCUAGUUUGCUUGGUUUUGUCUCCGACCAUCGUGUCGUGAUGAUUUUGCAGGUACCCUAAGAGGCCCUUGAGUUUGCCGGAAUGUUGAUUAACUUCCGUUCCGGCAAAUUCAGGUACUCCAUAUGUCCUAUUUUCAGCAAAGGUCAUGCUGAAAUUUUCCGUGAACGUUAGCAUGACUUUGCUAAAAAUAGGACAUAUGGGGUACUUGCGACUAAUGCAUGGGCCGGGGUGUCUUAGUACUUAAUUAAGUAGGAUCAAUUGCCCCUUUAUUCUUGCUGCAUUAAACCAUAGGUGGCAAUAGAGCCAAGUGAUUAGGCCCAAAUGAUGAAAGCUUAGGCUUUUAGGGUGCCUUGGCGUCGACAAACCCUAAAUGAUAAAAGCUUAGCUUUUAGGAUGCCUCUCGGUGUCGACAAACCCUAAAUGAUGAGACCAUGAUCUUGUUCCUUGACAAUAACCAACUUUUUGACCAAACUUUUUUCCUAUUUAGAGCGAAACAUGGCCCACAACGAUCAGGCCGGCGGUUCGGGCGGCAAGCAAUUCUGGGAGUUGUCCCAGGAGCUGGAGGAAGAACCUCACCGCUAUGAGGACGCCGCGGAAGACACCGAUCCUGACUACACAACCCCUAGUGGCGUCGGGGAUGACACCACUGAUGGUGCCGCCGAGGAUGCCACCACUGAUGAUGGUAGCGCACGCACAGAUGGUAGCCAACCGAAGAGGCAACGGAAGGACCGGCGCCCGAGCGUGCUCGACACCGUCAAGGAGGAAUUUACUGAAGUGAACUCCGACGGGCAUCCAACGGCGCCCAAACAAGUAGUCAAGGGGUACUCGGUUCAGCUCGGGUGCAUUCUCCGGAGCACCGUCUCGAUCAACACCGAGAACCUAAGGCAUAAGGACCGAGGGAAUUUGCGCAGCCUCCUCUUCACGAAGCAACACGAAUGAUACAAGUCCCCCGCUGAGUUUGCAAACACACGCCUCUCAGGGAAUAAAGUGAACAGUGCCGCCCUCACGAGGAUGAGCACGGCCCUGUCUACAUGGAGAAGCACGGUGAAGGCAAUGAUUGAAAAAGGUGAUAGUUAUGAGAAGAUCAAGGUGAAAUAUCCUUUGAUGAGCGAAGAUGACUACAAGGAGUUCAAGAUCAAGUGCGAGAGCAGCGCAACCUCCGAAUCAAGUUAGUGGGGGAAAGAAAUGCGGUAGUUGAACUUAGGGGUCCACCAACUCGGUCCCGGCGGUUACAGAGUGGCGGAGCCUAUAUGGGACAAGGAGGACGCGGAGCGUGCCGAGCAAGACCUACCGCCCCGCUUCGAGAAAUUCCGUGACAAGCAGACCAGGAACUUUGUCAGGGCCCGGUACAAGGAGGACCCGGUAACAAAGGAGCUUACCACGGAUCCGAAGACCAGGGCGCUUGAGCUUGUUCUGGUAAGGAAUACACCCCCACGUAAUUAGCUCCAUAUGGUUGCAUUCUAAUUAAUGAAGCCAAAUUUCUAAAUGGUUCACAUUCCUUCCGCAGGAGGCUGAAAGCAGUAGCGCGGGGUCGUCUCAGAGCUCCCCUUUCGAUACCCCUUUAAAUAGGGCGUUGAACGUAAUGAAAAACAAGGAUAAGCUCAGUAAGCCGUCGUCAGCUGGUCGUGUGGCCGGCAAAGGCUUGUCCAAAAAAUGGUCGUCAUUUUAUACCGCUGGCGGGCAAAAGGAAAGACCAGCUCGGAAAGCCAGUCGCGCGAGGUUCAAGAAAUCAAGGCACAAGUGGCGCGGAUUCCGGAGAUUGUCCAAGAGCAUGUGCAACAACAACUGGGAACGACGCUCACCGCCAUUGUGCCUACCUUGAUUCAGGGGCUGACGACGUGGAUUGCGGGCGGCCAACAGGGGCCUCCCCCGGUUCCCAGCUUCACGGCCAGCAACUCGCACAACGCGCAGGCAGCGCCAUUGGUGUCUCUGGCGGAGGCGGUAUUCAUGUCUCCGGUGCCGGCACGGGCAUUGGAGCUUAAUGCACCCGGGUGUACGCCGGCCGGCACCUCGCCAGUAAGCGGCCCCUCCGUCAGUUGCACGCCCACCGUUGGCGGUGCCUCAACAUUAGCCGAGCUCGACGGCAUCACGGUAACUAAGCCUCUCGGCCGAUGACUUCAUCUCCUUGCCUUUGACUGGGCAUCCCUGACGCCCUACAUGUUUUCGCAGGGCGCCGCCAACGUUCCUUGCACUCUCCUGCACUUCGUGGGCGGCGAGUUGGUCGAUGUCGCCAAGGGCAGAAUCGUUCAACCGGGCAACCGCGUGUUCCACGGUAAUCCGAUGCCACCCACCUUGUAUAGGGUUGAAUAGGUUCGGGUGCUGCCAGGCUGCGACGAGUUGUUACCUCCGAUUCGACCCGCUGGGGCCGACGAAGAUGAUGUGAUGACCCUCAGCGCCUGUGUAAGCUGGCCCCUGCUUUGGCCGAAGAGCCAGAUUUGUUUGGGGGCGGGGGACACCACCCCACAGACAAGACCGCCAGUGGUGCCAGCGCCAAGCCAUGGCAAGAACGCCGCAACGCUACCGGACAUGCCGGACAUCCCUAUGGCACAGGAUCCGGACAUGCAUAUGGCACAGGAUCCAGACGACAACGACAACGACGACGGUACAUUUUCCAACGUCGAUAAGUACUUUGCCGAACAUGGGUACGGUGACGAGUUUUGCGGGCCUCCUUCUCAAGAACCCAACCCUGAAAAAGACAACCGCGAUCUAGCUGGUACGGCGGAGAAACCCAAUUGCAACAUGCGUCGUCUGGCGUUCAGUUCUCAGGAGACGCCUCCAGCUGCCGCCUUCACCGAGCCUGAGAUAGCUAAGGUGUGAAAUAUUAUCAGCCCCAACACGCUCAAGAAGGCGGUCUGUGAGCAGAACUCGAUCCCAUUACAGCAGAUCAGGAAGAAGGGACGGAAACGAAAGACUAACAAGGGCGCCAGUGCGAGCCAGCCGGCACCGAGUACGAUCCGUGCUCAGGACGGGCCACCUUCACCUAAGGAUAUCUCGAGGAGGGUGCAUGUGGCGGGUAGGGCGAUGCUACCGACAAGUAUGCUCAAUGCUGCAACCGGUGCUAUGCGGAGUCUGCAUGACAGUGUUCUUUCUUUGGAGAAGCAGCGUCUCAGAGAGAAUGAUGUGGCAUACCCGGUUUUCGUGGCCAAGGUGCCAGAGGGCAAGGGCUUUGUGGAUAGUGCCGUCGGGGGUACGAUCGUCCUGCGGUUUGAUGACAUCUUUGCUAUGUUUAACCUUCAUCCGCUGCACUACACCUUCGUUCGGCUGUUUUCGCUGAGUAUGGAGAUGCGGAUCAUUAGAGACAAGACCCCGGACAUUGUGAUAGUCGACCCCUUCUACAUGUGUGCCAAGAUCUUGGGCAGCGCUGGGGACCGGCAAGUCGCGAGUUCACACCUCGAAGGCGUCAUUCUAGCAAACCCAGAUAAGGAUAACUUCGUCGUGCCUUACUUUCCCUAGUAAGUCAUCCCCUAACCGCCCCGUAACAUAUGACUUCUUAGAUUUCGAUCGUUCUUUUUUUUUCCAACACUCCGUGUUCUGUGCAGUGACACACAUUGCACACUCAUCCUCUUAAGCCCAAAAUAUUCCAUGGCCACGUAUUUCGACCCGGACCGUGACUCCAAGAUAGACUACACAAAUAUCAAGAAAGUUCUUGAUGAUGCUCUCCCCGGCUACGCCGCAUCUGGAGGCACCUUUAAGAGGCUAGCUCGUAGGUACGGCAGGCACGUGUUCACCCACAAUACGACAUUCCCCCGCGUCAAGCAGCCGCCUGGCGGUCAGAAGGAUUCCUACUACGCCCUCCAUCACAUGCGGGCGAUCGUACGGGACCAUAAUCACCUUCUGCUACCAAAUAAUCUCAAAGAUUGGGCCGCAAGCUUGGCGGCAAUCCAGGACGCGGACAUCCGACAAGAAUUCUUUCGCAUCCAGUCGGAGUUUGCAGAAAUCAUCCAUCAAGAUGUCCUUCGUACCUCGGGGCAGUUCUACCUCAAAUAUCAACCGUCCAAUAGUGAGAUAGACACAACGCUACAAAUGCAGGCUGACAACGCCCGCGACUUCAUGACCAUCACGACAGAUGGCGGCUUCAUCCAUGCUCCGGUCCCAUGAGUCGAGUCGAAAGUAGUGAUGCUAUGUGUAGUUCUGAAACAUCGAUUAGCUCAUGUUGUAAUUAAACUUUAAUGAACUUGUAUGUCUCUUUGGUUUGGACAGUCGUUCAACUUAGAUGUAAUCGAUGCUAUUUAUUAGUAGGACCAUGAAUCGUGCUAUUAAUGUCUUGCUUUUCUCUUCCGAUCCUUUUGUUGCAUACUUAUAUAUUGCUUAUGUAUUGUCUGUUGUUUGGCUAGUGCAUAGAGAUGCCGUCGUAUGUUGUGUACAAGGGUAAGGUUCCCGGAGUCUACGACGACUGGGAGGAGUGUCGGGGACAGGUUCACCGUUUCAGUGGUAACAGUUACAAAGGGUACACCACUAGGGCGGAGGCGGAAUCUAGAUACGCGCGCUAUCUAGCGGGAGAGAGGAGGGAGCGUUGGAGGAACCGGAUGAAGACCAGUUUCAUCGCGAUGAUGCUCAUCGUGAUGAACGCAGCUCUCUUCUAUGUGAUGGUAGUUUAGAUGAUCGAUAUCGACUUGUAAUGUGAAGACAAACUCGCUACUCGCAGUCUCGAGACUUGUAAUGUUCUAUCUUUGUUCGGUCUUUUAAAUUCGGAGACUAAUAUGAUGAAUUGUAUUCGGAGACUAAUCUUCUAUUGUAUUCGAUGAAUCUGCUGUUGCUGUGUGGUGCUGUCUAUAUUAUGUCCAAUAAUAUAUUUUGUAAUCUGUGCAAAUAUCAAAAAUAAUCCCUAAUAUACAUACUAAUGGCGCAUCACCCCAACGUGCGUCAUUAGUAUGCCAAAGGAUACUAAUGGCGCAUCACCCCGCAGUACGCCAUUAGUAUGGCAAAGCACAUGGGUAUAUAUGGCCCCUGGGAGGCCAUACUAAUGGCGCACCUGCUCCUAUACUAAUGGCGCACUCCGUGGUGCGCCAUUAGUAUUUAAUACUAGUGGCGUGGUACUAGUGGCGCACCAGUAGUGCACCAUUAGUAGGCAAAACUGGUGCGCCACUAGUAGGCCUUUACCUAGUAGUGUACCACGCGUGUCCACAACCAAGAUCAAACUGUUUGAUAUCCUCAGAAGCUAAAAUGAGGACCCAUUAUUAAAUAUUUGAGCGGGGUAUGAGCAUGUAAAUAUUGAGCCAUAAAUACAUUUUAAUAAAUUCCACAAGUGUAUAGUAGCCUUUCACUAAACGUUGCCUUAUCUUCUUGAAGGAUGAAUAUAUAUUCUUUCUCUCCAUGAUUUUGAAAACCCUUGCACUUGGUCAGCAGAAUUCCAUCACACGUCAAGUCCAGCACAUGCGCAUAGGCAAUUAAAAUGGUGAUCCUUGAAAGUGUCACUUGUAGUUAAGGAAUCCUACAUGAAUGACAUUCAUCUUAGAUCAUGUGACGACUUGCAAAACCUACACGUUGAUAGUGAAAAGUGUCCUUGGGAGCCCGAGCCAAAAAAUGAGUGAAUUUGGCUACCCGAAUUUAACUGUUUAUUGGUGUAGUCGUACUCAAUGCUUACCACACGAAGUCGCUCUUAUGCAUGAGAACUUUUACAAACCGUAUAAUCCCAUUAUGUCCAUUUUUAUCAAUGCACGCCAAAGAAUAUCCUAGAUUGCACCGGAGUAAAAAAAUCUUCUAUUCAUACAGAGAAUUAGUAAACUCUAUAUAUAUGAUCUUAUUUAGGGUGUCCCUCACAUAUAGUGCGACGACUAAAAUUGUAGUUUUUUAGUUUCAACAUCUUGUGUAUUUUUUGCUUAUUUUAUCUCGCACUUCAUUUUGUACGAAAUGUAAUGACGUUGAAUUCGGCACCGCCUGAGAUCCCAAUAUUCAAUUGUAGAAAUACAUCUCCUGCUAUUCGAGUAAAUGAAUGUUAAUUUCGUUCUCCUCAAAACACUAGAAAAUCUCUUUUAAGUGUGCACCGUCUUGUUUGCCGUGUAUCCCAAAUGCUGAGUGAAAUUAGUCUGUCAGUAUUAUUUUGCCCUGCCAUUUUUAGGGUGGCCUUUAAGCCUAGAAUUGACCCUAUUUUUGCAUACUUACCAUUUCCAUCAACUAAAUUUAUCGACCCCAUCCUCGUCUAAUAAAUGUAUUAAUAUAUAGAAAACUAACUACUUAGCGACAACAUCACUCUGGCUUGUUGAGUGCUGAAAUGAGGAUAAAGGCGACUUGGUGUCCGAGGAUCAUAAACUUUGACGUGCUCCCCAUUCUUUAGUUAAUUAUGGAUUAUUAAUUUCAUCAAUUAUUUCAUGUAAUAUUUUAGAUGGAGAGGCUCGGAUUGUUGUCUCCUGUUUUGGAAAAAUAGUAAGUGUUGGCGGUGGUCAUUCGACAGAGUUACGUUGGAUCUUGCACCUAGGUCUGACACCGUUGGCACACUCCAUUGGAUGCUAGGCGUCUGGCACGAUGUGAUGGAUUGUCACCGUCAGGGGAUUCAUUUUUACGUGAGGUUCCUUCUAUAGACAAUGGUUCAAGUUUGUCACAUUGUUGUUGAGGAAUCUAGAAUUCAGAUAUGAUCAUCUCUCUCGUAGUGAAAUAAACAGAGCAUGGCCAAGCACAUGCAAUCCUAGCUUUGGUGAUACCACAAACUUUUCUUCGUACCUUUUAGCAUGUUAAACCUCCAUAUGAGGCAGUUUUCUAAGACCACCAGCACCACAGGUGUUUUGUCAUCAAAUGGCGUAUUGUCCUAUCACAUUGAUUUUGUUUUGCCACGACCUCCUCGAAUGUCCAAACAUCAUGAUCUUUUGCACACACAUCACACAUUCGAGCAUCUUCCAUGCCAAAAAAAUUAGAUGAUAUUACUGUUCACACACAGGUGCAUAUACACCUGCGCACCGAAUCAAAUAUUGGUAUGGGUUUUUGUGGCACACAUAGUUAUGUACUACUAUCCACUCUACUGAUGCUAUAGCAACCACUAACAAUGAGAACAUCAAAAGUAACAUUUGGAUACACAUGUUUAUUUGCUAAAAUUCAAAUAGAAUAGUCAAACAUAAAAUUUUAGAGGAAUCAUGGCAGGUUACUCAUGUGUUACAAAGAGCACCAGUGGGAUUUUCCUCUGCAAGAAUUGAAUCAUCUAAAACUUAAAUUCCAAUGUUCUUCCUUUGUUUAAAAUUAACCUUGUGAUAUUUUAUCGCAUUUCGAACAAUUCCACCAUAACCCUCUGUAUCGCUGCACUUAAUCCAACGUGUGAAAAAUGGGAAAUUGAGUCAGGAACAAUGGCCUCUACUAUUCUGCAAUGAAAAGAAUAUCAAAUCUUAUGUCGCAAAUCAACGAGUUGUUCGUAUAUAGCUCAUCCAAACAGUACCGCUGUGCGUAGUUCAAAGAAAAUUUGAGUUCUUCUAUAGCAAAUAAUCAAUUAUACUUUAUGUGGUGCUUGUUUAGUGUAUCUAAAUAGCUAUAUUUACUAGACUAUAAACAUGACAUUAUAUUGUUCACGUUAGGAUUUGUUCUCUGCUGGUAGUGACACAAGCUCUAGCACAGUGGAAUGGGCAGUGAAAGAGCUGCUCGAAAACCCACAUCAAUGUCCAGCGCUUGCAACGAGCUUGCAGAAGUUAUUGGCUUCAAAAGAAACAUUGAAGAAGAUGAUAUUGUUCGGUUGCCCUAUCUCCAAGCUGUCAUAAAAGAUACUUUUCGACUUCAUCCUCCCGGGCCACUCUUGUUGCCACGCAAACCUGAGAGGACAGUGGAAAUAGCAGGUUACACAAUACCUAAAGAUUCACGUGUGUUCAUAAAUGUAUGGGCGAUAGGUCGAGAUAAAGAUGUAUGGUCUGAGCCUGAGAAGUUUAUGCCAGAGAGGUUCUUGGGUUCAACAAUUGACUUUAGGGGUGCUGAUUUUGAGCUCCUACCAUUUGGUGCUGGACGUCGGAUCUGCCCUGGAAUGCCAUUGGCUAUUAGAACGGUGCAGUUGAUCCUCGCUUCGUUGUUAAAUCAGUUUAAAUGGAGUCUCCCUAUUGAGCUUGAACGGGAUGGAAUUGAUAUGGAAGAAAAGUUUGGCCCAUCACUAACGAAGGUCGUGCCUCUUUGUAUUGUACCAACACCGGUUUGAAUUCAUAAAAAAAAUGUGUCCCUAGUAAGAUUGCUUUAGAUGUUUUCAAUAUGUAAUAAUUGAAAUGUAUCACCCAUGGAAUUUAUGCCAUUAUUUAUGUGAUAAUUAAAUAAUUAUUCUUGAAAACUUGACUUUCUCGCACUGCGUAAGAUGAAUGAUAUGUUUUUUUUUCUUUUUGUGGGGAGAUAUGUUGUGUUACUAUGAUGUUGAUCAUACAAAGAUAUUCAUACAUGCCAUCCUAUACAUCAAAAUUAACUUUUGAGGUUUGUGUAACUCCAUGUUGCAAAAAAUUCAAUGUGUCAAUGAAAAAAUACAACACUUCAUUCACAUGCGAUACUAGUAGUACCAGAUUUCGAUGAGAUAGUAUUGAGAGCCUUAAAAAGAAGAAAAAUGAUUAGAUUAAUUUGGCAAUGUCACCUUUACACCUUAAGUAUUAUGUUGGAACAAUAGUGAUUGUUCUCGCAAAAAAGGAAAUAAGGUAUGUAUAUUUUCAGAUAGGAAUAUCUACACCAUUCAAAGAUUCUAAAAUUUCAUUGUUCAUAAUUCGACACCAUGAGAAGUAUCCUCUCCAACGUUCGGUAAUACUUACAUCCAAAAUAUUUCACAUUAAAAUCCUCUACACAUUCCAAAGUUCAUAAAUUUAAUAUGGAUGGGGCAGUUGCCAGGAACGGUAAUAGGUUUAAUAUGGAUGGGGCAGUUGCCAGGAACGGUAAUAGGUGUGUUAUUGCAGUUGUAUGCCAGGAUGAGAAUGGUGUCUACCUAGGAUCAUUUGCUGUGAAUUCGAAUUAUACGGAUGAUUGUCCAGCACCUUUCAAUCCUCGCAGCAAUCACUUAGGGUAGCGAAGGAGAACCACACUAGUCUAAGUGAUUGCUAAAACACAAAUGAAUGACCAUCCAUGCAAAUAAUGCCACAGGCAGUUCUGCAAUUGAACUGGCUGAAAUUCUAAAGGAAAAUCCUGCUCCGAGAACCAACCGAGUCAAGUGUGUUAGAGCAUCUACAGCUGGGUGCCCCAAACCCCACAUCAUAUGCCCGGGCGGACAACCCAGUCACUGACCGGCCAAAAAACGAUCCAAACGGGCAGCUCAAACCGGCCUCAAACACCCAGGUUGACCGGUACCCCUCGUAUCCAGCCCAAAUUGGGAUUGAUAUGGGGAGGCCCGGGCGUGACCAGCCGCGUCCGCCGCGUCGGACCCGAUCCACGCUGACCCACCCGACCCAAUAUAUAAUCGUCCCCAUCUGUUCCCUGCACCAAACCCUAGCCACUCCACUCUGUUGGGGAACAUAGUAUUUCAAAAAAAUUCCUACGAUCACGCAAGAUCUAUCUAGGAGAAGCAUAGCAACGAGUGGGGAGAGUGUGUCCACGUACCCUCAUAGACCAAAAGCGGAAGCGUCAAGUAACGCGGUUGAUGUAGUCGAACGUCUUCGCAAUCCAACCGAUCUAGUACCGAACGCACGGCACCUCCGCGAUCUGCACACGUUCAGCUCGGUGACGUCCCUCAAACUCUAGAUCCAGCUGAGGCCGAGGGAGAGUUCCGUCAGCACGACGGCGUGGUGACGGUGAUGAUAAAGUUACCGGCGCAGGGCUUCGCCUAAGCACUAUGACGAUAUGACUGAGGUGUAAAACUGUGCAGGGGGGCACCGCACACGGCUGAAGAUCAACUUGUGUGUCUAUGGGGUGCCCCCUCCCAUGUAUAUAAAGGAGGAAGGGAGGAGGAGGCCGGCCAAGAGGAGGUGCGCCCAAGGGGGGCGUCCUACUCCAAGUAGGAUUCCCCCCCCCCCUUUCCUACUUCCACAAGGAGAAGGGGGAAAGAGGAGGAGGAGAGAAAGGAAAGGGGGGCCGCCCCCAACCCCUAGUCUAAUUCGGUUUGGGUUUGGGGGGGGGCGCCUCCCUGGCUGCUGCCUCCUCUCUUCCACAAGGGCCCAUGAAGGCCCAUUAACCCCCCGGGGGGUUCCGGUAACCCCCCGGUACUUCGGAAAAUACCUGAUACACUUCGGAACUAUUCUGGUGUCCCAAUAUAACCUUCCAAUAUAUCAAUCUUUAUGUCUCGACCAUUUCAAGACUCCUCGUCAUGUCCGUGAUCUCAUCCGGGACUCCGAACAACCUUCGGUACAUCAAAUCACAUAAACUCAUAAUACGAAUCGUCAUCGAACGUUAAGUGUGCGGACCCUACGGGUUCGAGAACUAUGUAGACAUGACCGAGACACCUCUCCGGUCAAUAACCAAUAGUCAUAUUGGCUCCUACAUAUUCUACGAAGAUCUUUAUCGGUCAAACCGCACAACAACAUACGUUGUUCCCUUUGUCAUCGGUAUGUUACUUGCCCGAGAUUCGAUCGUCGGUAUCACCAUACCUAUUUCAAUCUCGUUACCGGCAAGUCUCUUUACUCCUUCCAUAAUGCAUCAUCCCGCAACUAACUCAUUGGUCACAUUGCUUGCAAGCCUUAUAGUGAUGUGCAUUAUCGAGUGGGCCCAGAGAUACCUCUCUGACAAUCGGAGUGACAAAUCCUAAUCUUGAUCUAUGCCAACUCAACAAACACCAUCGGAGACGCCUGUAGAGCAUCUUUAUAAUCACCCAGUUAUGUUGUGACGUUUGAUAGCACACUAAGUGUUCCUUCGGUAUUCGGGAGUUGCAUAAUCUCAUAGUCAGAGGAACAUGUAUAAGUCAUGAUGAAAGCAAUAGCAACAAACUAAACGAUAAUAGUGCUAAGCUAACGGAUGGGUCUUGUCCAUCACAUCAUUCUCUAAUGAUGUGAUCUCGUUCAUCAAAUGAUAACACAUGUCUAUGGCUAGGAAACAUAACCAUCUUUGAUAAACAAGCUAGUCAAGUAGAGGCAUACUACGGACACUCUGUGUGUCUAUGUAUUCACACAUGUACUAAGUUUCCGGUUAAUAUAAUUCUAGCAUGAAUAAUAAACAUUUAUCAUGAUAUAAGGAAAUGUAAAUAACAACUUUAUUAUUGCCUCCAGGGCACAAUUUCCUUCAGUCUCCCAGUUGCACUAGAGUCAAUAAUCUAGAUUACACAGUAAUGAUUCUAACACCCAUGGAGUCUUGGUGUUGAUCAUGUUUUGCUCGUGAGAGAGGCUUAGUCAACGGGUCUGCAACAUUCAGAUCCGUAUGUAUCUUGCAAAUCUCUAUGUCCCCUUCCGACACUUGAUGACGGAUGGAAUUGAAGCGUCUCUUGAUGUGCUUGGUCUUCUUGUGAAAUCUGGAUUCCUUUGCCAAGGCAAUUGCACCAGUAUUGUCACAAAAGAUUUUCAUUGGACCCGAUGCACUACGUAUGACACCUAGAUCGGAUAUGAACUCCUUCAUCCAGACUCCUUCAUUCGCUGCUUCUGAAGCAGCUAUGUACUCCGCUUCACACGUAGAUCCCGCCACGACGCUCUGUUUGGAACUGCACCAACUGAUAGCUCCACCAUUCAAUAUAAAUACGUAUCCGGUUUGUGACUUAGAGUCAUCCAGAUCAGUGUCAAAGCUUCCAUCGACGUAACCAUUUACAACGAGCUCUUUGUCACCUCCAUAAGUGAGAAACAUAACCUUAGUCCUUUUCAGGUAUUUCAGGAUGUUCUUGACCACUGUCCAGUGAUCCACUCCUGGAUUACUUUGGUACCUCCCUACUAUACUUAUAGCAAGGCACACAUCAGGUCUGGUACACAGCAUUGCAUACAUGAUAGAACCUAUGCCUGAGGCCUAGGGAAUGACUUUCAUUUUCUCUCUAUCUUCUGCAGUGGUCGGGCAUUAAGUCUCACUAACCUUCACACCUUGUAACACAGGCAAGAACCCUUUCUUUGACUAAUCCAUUUUGAACUUUUUCAAAAUCUUGUCAAGGUAUGUGCUUUGUGAAAGUCCAAUUAAGCGUAUUUAUGUAUCUCUAUAGAUCUUGAUGUCCAAUAUGUAAGCAGCUUCACCGAGGUCUUUCAUAGAAAAACUCUAGUUCAAGUAUCCUUUUAUGCUAUCCAGAAAUUCUAUAUCAUUUCCAAUCAACAAUAUGUCAUCCACAUAUAAUAUUAGAAAUGCUACAGAGCUCCCACUCACUUUCUUGUAAAUACAGGCUUCUCCAAAAGUCUGUAUAAAACCAUAUGCUUUGAUCACACUAUCAAAACGUUUAUUCCAACUCCGAGAGGCUUGCACCAGUCCAUAAAUGGAUCGCUGGAGCUUGCACACUUUGUUAGCACCCUUUGGAUCGAUAAAACCUUCUGGUUGCAUCAUAUACAACUCUUCUUCCAGAAAUCCAUUCAGGAAUGCAGUUUUGACAUCCAUUUGGCAAAUUUCAUAAUCAUAAAAUGCGGCAAUUGCUAACAUGAUUCGGACAGACUUAAGCAUCGCUACGGGUGAGAAAGUCUCAUCGUAGUCAACUCCUUGAACUUGUCGAAAACCUUUCGCAACAAGUCGAGCUUUGUAGACAGUAACAUUACUGUCAGCGUCAGUCUUCUUCUUGAAGAUCCAUUUAUUCUCUAUGGCUUGCCGAUCAUCGGGCAAGUCAACCAAAAUCCACACUUUGUUCUCAUACAUGGAUCCCAUCUCAAGCCAUUUCGCGGAAUCUGGGUUCAUCAUCCCUUCCUCAUAGUUCGUAGGUUCGUCAUGGUCAAGUAACAUGACAUCUAGAACCGGAUUACCGUACCACUCUGGAGCGGAUCUUACUCUGAUUGACAUACGAGGUUCGGUAGUAACUUGAUCAGAAGCUUCAUGAUCAUCAUCAUUAGUUUCCUCACUAAUUGGUGUAGGAAUCACUGGAACUGAUUUCUGUGAUGAACUACUUUCCAAUGAGGGAGCAGGUACAAUUACCUCAUCAAGUUCUACUUUCCUCCCACUCACCUCUUUCGAGAGAAACUCCUUCUUUAGAAAGGAUCCAUUCUUAGCAACAAAAAUCUUGCCUUCGGAUCUGUGAUAGAAGGUGUACCCAACAGUUUCCUUUGGGUAUCCUAUGAAGACACAUUUCUCCGAUUGGGUUCGAGCUUAUCAGGUUGAAGCUUUUUCACAUAACCAUCGCAGCCCCAAACUUUAACUUGGGUUUCUUGCCAAACCACAGUUCAUAUGGUGUCAUCUCAACGGAUUUAGAUGGUGCCCUAUUUAACGUGAAUGUAGUUGUCUCUAAAGCAUAACACCAAAAUGAUAGCGGUAAAUCAGUAAGAGACAUCAUAGAUCGCACCAUAUCUAAUAAAGUGCGGUUACGACGUUCGGACACACCAUUACGCUGUGGUGUUCCAGGUGGCGUGAGUUGCGAAACUAUUCCACAUUGUUUCAAACAAAGACCAAACUCGUAACUCAAAUAUUCACAUCCACGAUCAGAUCGUAGUAACUUUAUUUUCUUGUUACGAUGAUUUUCCACUUCACUCUGAAAUUCUUUGAACUUUUCAAAUGUUUCAGACCUAUGUUUCAUCAAGUAGAUAUACCCAUAUCUGCUCAAAUCAUCUGUGAAGGUCAGAAAAUAACGAUACCCGCCGCGAGCCUCAACACUUAUUGGACCACAUACAUCAGUAUGUAUUAUUUCCAACAAGACUAUAGCUCGCUCCAUUGUUCUGGAGAACGGAGUCUUAGUCAUCUUGCCCAUGAAGCAUGGUUCGCAAGCAUCAAGUGAUUCCAAAAGCCCAUCAGUAUGGAGUUUCUUCAUGCGUUUUAUACCAAUAUGACCUAAACGGCAGUGCCACAAGUAAGUUGCACUAUCAUUAUUAAACUUAUAUCUUUUGGCUUCAACACUAUGAAUAUGUGUAUCACUACUAUCGAGAUUCAAUAAAAUAGACCACUCAUCAAGGGUGCAUGACCAUAAAAGAUAUUACUCAUAUAAAUAGAACAAUCAUUAUUCUCUUAUUUAAAUGAAUAACCGUCUCGCAUCAAACAAGAUCCAGAUAUAAUGUUCAUGCUUAACGCUGGCACCAAAUAACAAUUAUUCAGGUCUAAAACUAAUCCCGAAGGUAGAUGUAGAGGUAGUGUGCCGACGGCGAUCACAUCGAUUUUGGAACCAUUUCCCACGCGCAUCGUCACCUCGUCCUUAGCCAAUCUUCGCUUAAUCCGUAGCCCUUGUUUCGAGUUGCAAAUAUGAGCAACAGAACCAGUAUUAAAUACCCAGGCACUACUGCGAGCAUUAGUAAGGUACACAUCAAUAACAUGUAUAUCAAAUAUACCUUUCACUUUGCCAUCCUUCUUAUCCGCAAAAUACUUGGGGCAGUUCCGCUUCCUGUGACCAGUCCCUUUGCAGUAGAAGCACUCAAUCUCAGGCUUAGGUCCAGACUUGGGUUUCUUCACUUGAGCAGCACCUUGCUUGCCGUUCUUCUUAAUGUUCCCCUUCUUCCCUUUACCCUUUUUCUUGAAACUAGUGGUCUUGUUGACCAUCAAAACUUGAUGCUCCUUCUUGAUUUCUACCUCCGCAUCCUUUAACAUUGUGAAGAGCUCGGGAAUUGUCUUAUCCAUUCCUUGCAUAUUAUAGUUCAUCACGAAGCUUUUGUAGCUUAGUGACAGUGAUUGAAAAACUCUGUCAAUGACACUAUCAACCGGAAGAUUAACUCCCAGUUGAGUCCAGUGAUUAUGAUACCCAGACAUUUUGAGUAUAUGUUCACUGACAAAACUAUUCUCCUCCAUUUUGCAGCUGUAAAACUUAUUGGAGACUUCAUAUCUCUCAAUCCGGGUAUUUGCUUGAAAUAUUAACUUCAACUCCUGGAACAUCUCAUAUGCUCCAUGACGUUCAAAACGUCGUUGAAGUCCCGGUUCUAAGCCGUAAAGCAUGGCACACUGAACUAUCGAGUAGUCAUCAGCUUUGCUCUUCCAGGCAUUCGCAACGUCCGGCGUUGCUCCUACAACGGGUCUUGCACCUAGCGGUGCUUCCAGGACACAAUUCUUCUGCGCAGCAACGAGGAUAAUCCUCAAGUUACGGACCCAGUCCGUGUAGUUGCUACCAUCAUCUUUCAACUUAGCUUUCUGUAGAAACGCAUUAAAAUUCAACGGAACAGUAGCACGGGCUAUUUAUCUACAACAAACAUAGACAUGCAAAAUACUAUCAGGUACUAAGUUCAUUUUAAAUUAAAGUUCAAUUAAUUAUAUUACUUAAGAACUCUCACUUAGAUAGACAUCUAUCUAUCUAUCUAUCUAUCUAUAUAUAUAUAUAUAUAUAUAUAUACCUAUACUAAUUACAGACUCCCAAGUAAUUACCACGUUAAUUAGAAUUUAUUAGCCAUUCAUCUGAACUAUUACGGUACAGAUCCACCGAUAUAAUUAUUCCAGUUAAGGAAGAGACCUGGUCUCCUAUCCCACGUGGAUGUGAAUCGUCCUCCCCUUGGUCUCUCUUACUCUACGGGAAAAAAACUGGACAUCUCCUUCUAUAUUGAGACGGAGGUCCUCCCUUGGUCUCUCUCUUUUUCCCUCGAGAGCAAAAUCUGAGCAUGAUUGCCUCCUAGAUUUGGCGACCAAAGGUGAAACCGGCAACCCCGUCUCUGAUUUAAUCUGGUGGUGCAUGAUGGACGAGCCGCUUCUGCCUCCACAUGGCCACUUGGGUCUCGGCCGCGUCAUCUAGGCUUUGCAGCUCUGCGGAUCCACUAAACAAAGUAGUGUUUGCACCAUCCAUGUCCGAUUCAUGCAGGCAUCAUCCGUAGAGUUGGCUGGAACCAUGCAUGUACUCUGCUCUGAAUCAGUUGCACUAAUUCUCAGGUAAGCAACGUGAUAUUUCCAUGUGUUGAUUCAAUCUGGAAAAGUCAAGAUCACAAAUUCUUUCAGUGAUGAAUUGAUGAUCGAUGGAAUUUAAUUACAUGAGUAUUGAUCGCCCAGACCUUUUUAGGGACAUUCUAGGAUUUCAAUUUGACAUGAAAUCAAUUUUGUUUCUAUGUGGUACUGACGUACUGUCAUUGCUAGCAUUGUUGAUCUCCAGCAGCAUCGUCCACAGUAGAACGGAUCUCCGUCAGCGUCGGCACCCUCCGUGGAACAUUGUCAUGCUAGCCACCUCACGCUCAGCAUCCUCUCCACCAUGGCAUCCGGUUUGGCCGCAGGAACUAAAUGGUAUUCCAUCACCCGGUUCAGACUGAAAUCCUCUAUUUUUGUGUUGUUUCAGUCAACUAUGUAUUCCUGUAUUGUACCGCUGGGCUCUAGAUUGAAGUCGGCUGAGUUGUUGGUUGGGUCUGAAGAUGCGUUUGUGUUAGACAAUAGUUACAUGCAAAGUAAGUUCUCUACUGUAGGAGGAUAGGAAGAUUUUUUCUACUGUACUGAUAGAUUGAUGGCAGCACCUCAAGCAUGUAACCGUGGGAGUGCAUUAUUUUAUCCUCAUACCUUGCUUUUCUCUAGCAAAAUAUUUUUGUUAUUUCCUUACACUACAUUAUUUUUUCAUCUUUCCUUUGAUAUCUUAACUAUUUAUUUAUUCGUACAAAUGGUAAUCAGUCUUUGUUUACCUAACCUGAAUGUUGUUCUGACCAUAAAUAUGUCCUAAGAAUUAGGGUAAGAAUGAAGCCAAUAACUGUUGAAUGUCUCCAGAUGUAGCUGUUUUAACCAGAAAAAGUUAGUCCAAAAGGUCAAUAAAAUUAUUCCUUUGACCUAUCUACAGAAGUGUAUCGAUCCAUUAAGUUUCCUUGAGAUACGUGACAUAUGUCACAAGUAGCACGUGAAGAGAAUAAUCAGUUCAGUAACUUUCAGUUAGGAUGCCUGCAACAUUGCGAUUUAUAAACAAUGUUUUACCUCUUUCCAUACAUUGGUAUACGAUGCAGUGCCCUCUCUGAAGACACCCAGCACCUCUUCAUUGGUUGCCCUGCAGCUGCUGCAAUUUGGCAACAUCUCGGCAUCUCCCCCCUUUACCAUGGUUCCAACACCUGUGGACAAUCCCCACUCCGGUACUACUUCAUUCUUCAGUCUGGCCUGAGAUUCUACUACCUAUACUUUGGAAAAUUUGGGAAGUAAAAAAUGCAGCUGCAUUUAGGAACGAAAAUCAUAGCCCGUAUGUAGUUAUUAGUAGAUUAUGUAGGGACUUUGAGCUCUAGACUGGCGAUAAAAUAACCGCCUGCCUUGGCGUGACUAUCUCUCUUCACGCAUCUUUGUGACCCUGUAAACUCUCUGUAACACCUUGGUCGUUGGGCCAUUUUUAGAAAUAUAUAUACAUGUGGGGAUUCCACCUGGUGAUUCCUCAAAAAAAGUGAAGGAGAUGCGCCUCACUACCUGUUGCUACACAAACUAAAGGUAACAACCUCAAUUUUUGAUGAAGGGAGUUUAGAUUCACAUGGCUUUUAUUAUUAUUCAAUAUAUAUGUAGAAGCGUGUCACUUCUUAGACCAUUGGUACUUAUAUCAAAACUAGAGACCUUUCAUAUAUAACCAUCUAAUAGCAAUUCAUGUACAGGUUUUGUAUGUGCAAUCCUCUAAUUAAUGUGCUCCAAGAAAAUCAGUUAUGCAAGGUACAGCUCUAUCUAUUGGGAAUUGGUUGCUUCACUAAUUCUUUUGAGUUUGUAUUCAUGUUGUGCUGAUGGUAGUGUUUACAGCAGAGUAUCAAUGCUAAAGGGAUGAUUUAUUCCUAACUGAAAUCCUGUAGCACUCCAUAGAUGCUUCUUUUGUCCUGUCUGACUAAUUAAUUUUUACUGUGCACCUUGAUCCUUAGUUUAAUGGCUACUGAUGUAGUGAAGCACGGGCGCUCGAUUGGUCGGCUGGUUUUAUUCAUACGAGUAACAAGCAUACUGCGAUAGCAGAUAGAGGGUGACACAAUUCUCCGACUGCAAUAAUUUUACUAAAUCAUGCACCACUAGUAGAAAAAGAGGCUUCCAUACGCCCCCAUUAGUCCCCAAAAUAAUCGAACCGCGACAAAAGGGGUCUUUAGUCGCGGUUCGGGAGGAGACCCGCGACCAACUAUCUGGGACCCGCGACCAACUAUCUGGGCCCAGCGCGCUCGGUCGACAGCUGGCGGACGGGAGGGGCUUUAGUCGCGGUUGGCCUGGCCAACCGCGACUAAAGGUCCCCGAAGGCCUUUAGUCACGGUUGGCCAGGCCAACCGGGACUAAAGGCCCAUCCAGCUGGCGGACGGGAGGGGCUUUAGUCCCGGUUGGCCUGGCCAACCGGGACUAAAGGUCCCCGAAGGCCUUUAGUCGCGGUUGGCCAGGCCAACCGGGACUAAAGGCCCAUCCCUAUAUAUAGGACUCAGCUCACUUUACUUCACUUCACUCAGCUCACUGCUUCACAAUAUUCAGAAGGGGGUGGUGGGUUUGCUUUUGGUUCCUCCUAUGCACACAAGGUGUUCGAUGAAAUGCCCGAGAGCCUGAAACAAACAUGAUAUGAAGUGUCCGAGCCACACUUGAGCUUUCUCAUUUAUUUUUCCUCCGCGAUCGCUGUUAGCAACUUGAACCUUUCAUGUGUCAUUGAUAAAAUAUGCAUGUGUGUAGUUCAUUGUUUAAUUUGUAUUAUUUCUAGCUAGUUAGUUUAACAAAUGCAUGAUGGUUAAUUAUAUACUUUAUAUAAUAAUAAUGCAGAUGAAUCGGCAAUGGAUGUACGGUCCCCGACUCUCCGGCGAGUUCACUACGGGUUUGAAAGAUUUCCUCGUAGUGGCAAAUGCGAACAAGCAGCGAGAUUUUAUUAUCUGUCCAUGUGCUGUCUGUAAGAAUCAGAAGGGUUACUCCUCCUCAAGAGAGGUUCACAUGCACCUGCUUCGGCGCGGUUUCAUGCGAAGCUAUAAUUGUUGGACCAAGCAUGGAGAAAGAGGGGUUAGAAUGGAAGAAGAUGAAGAAGGGGAUGAUAUCUAUGACAACUAUCAUGAUCAUUUCGGUGAUACUUUCAUGGAGGAUGAUGCUGAAGGUGGGGAAGGGUUAGGUGAAGGUGAAGAAGAGGCACAUGAUGAGCCCGCUGAUGAUCUUGGUCGGACCAUUGCUGAUGCACGGAGACGCUGCGAAACUGACAAGGAUAGGGAGAAUUUGGAUCGCAUGUUAGAGGAUCACAAAAAGUCGUUGUAUCCAGGAUGCGAUAAUAGUCUGAAAAAGCUGGGCUGCACACUGGAUUUGCUAAAAUGGAAGGCACAGGAAGGUGUAGGUGACUCAUCAUUUGAAAAUUUGCUGAAAAUGUUGAAGAAUAUGUUUCCGAAGAAUAACGAGUUGCCCGCCAGUACGUACGAAGCAAAGAAGGUUGUCUGCCCUCUAGGUUUAGAGGUUCUGAAGAUACAUGCAUGCAUUAACGACUGCAUCCUCUACCGCGGUGAAUACGAGAAUUUGAAUGAAUGCCCUGUAUGCACUGCAUUGCGUUAUAAGAUCAGAGGCGAUGACCCUGGUGACGAUGUUGAGGGCGAGAAACCCAGGAAGAGGGUUCCCGCCAAGGUGAUGUGGUAUGCUCCUAUAAUACCACGGUUGAAACAUCUGUUCAGGAACGAAAAGCAUGCCAAGUCGUUGCGAUGGCACAAAGAGGACCGUAAGUCCGACGGGGAGUUGAGGCACACCGCUGAUGGAACGCAAUGGAGAAAGAUCGACAGAGUGUUCAAAGAUUUUGCAGCUGACGCAAGGAACAUAAGAUUUGGUCUAAGUACUGAUGGCAUGAAUCCUUUUGGCGAGCAGAGCUCCAGCCAUAGCACCUGGCCCGUGACUCUAUGCAUCUACAACCUUCCUCCUUGGUUGUGCAUGAAGCGGACGUUCAUUAUGAUGCCAGUGCUCAUCCAAGGCCCUAAGCAACCCGGCAACGACAUCGAUGUGUACCUAAGGCCAUUAGUUGAAGAACUCUUACAGUUGUGGGCCAGACCUGGUGUACGUGUCUGGGAUGAGCACAAAGGAGAGGAAUUUGACCUACGAGCGUUGCUUUUUGUAACCAUCAACGAUUAGCCUGCUCUCAGUAACCUUUCGGGACAGACAAAUAAGGGAUACAAUGCAUGCACGCACUGCUUGCAUGAGACUGAAAGUGUACGUUUGGUUAAUUGUAAGAAGAACGUGUACCUGGGUCAUCGUCGAUUUCUUCCCCAAAAUCAUAACGUAAGAAAGAAAGGCAAGCAUUUCAACGGCAAGGCAGAUCACCGGCCGAAGCCUGCGGAACGUACUGGUGCUGAGAUAUUUGAUAUGGUCAAGGAUUUGAAAGUCAUCUUUGGAAAGGGUCCUGGCGGACAAUCAGUUCCGCGGGGAGUUGACGGGCACGCACCCAUGUGGAAGAAGAAAUCUAUAUUUUGGGAGCUAGAAUAUUGGAAAGUCCUAGAUGUCCGCUCUGCAAUCGACGUGAUGCAUGUUACGAAGAAUAUUUGCGUGAACCUGCUAAGCUUCUUGGGCGUGUAUGGGAAGACAAAUGAUACAAAGGAAGCACGGCAGGACCAGCAACUUUUGAAAGACCCAGAUGACCGGCAUCCGGAAUGGUUUCAAGGUCGUGCCAGCUACGCUCUUACCAAAGAAGAGAAGGUCAUUUUUUUGAAUGCCUGAGCAGUAUGAAGGUCCCGUCUGGCUUCUCGUCGAAUAUAAAGGGAAUAAUAAACAUGGCGGAGAAAAAGUUCCAAAACCUGAAGUCUCACGACUGCCACGUGAUUAUGACGCAAUUGCUUCCGAUUGCUUUGAGGGGGCUCCUACCGGAAAAUGUUCGAGUAGCCAUUGUGAAGCUAUGUGCAUUCCUCAAUGCAAUCUCUCAGAAGGUAAUCAAUCCAGAAAAUCUACCACAGUUACAGAACGAUGUGGUCCAAUGCCUUGUCAGUUUCGAGUUGGUGUUCCCACCAUCCUUCUUCGAUAUUAUGACGCACCUCCUGCUCCACCUAGUCGAAGAGAUUUCCAUUCUCGGUCCUGUAUUUCUACACAAUAUGUUCCCCUUUGAGAGGUUCAUGGGAGUAUUAAAGAAAUAUGUUCGUAACCGUGCUAGGCCAGAAGGAAGCAUCGUCAAGGGCUAUGGAAAUGAGGAGGUAAUUGAGUUCUGUAUUGACUAUGUUCCUGACCUUAAGCCGAUUGGUAUUCCUCAAUCGCGGCACAAGGGGAGACUAAGUGGAAAAGGCACGAUCGGAAGGAAAUCAACGAUAUGUAUGGACGGUCAUUCUAUGACUGAAGCACACCACACAGUUCUGCAAAAUUCCAGCUUGGUGGCUCCGUUCUUCGAGCAGCACAAGAAUAUUUUACGCUCGGACAACCCGGGGAAGCCUGAAUCCUGGAUUAGAAAGGCCCACAUGGAGACUUUCGGCAGUUGGUUGCGAAAACAUUUAAUGAAUGACAAUGAUGUUGGAGAUCAGCUGUACAUGUUGGCCAAGAAACCAUCUUCGACUAUAACGAUUUUCCAAGGGUACGAGAUAAAUGUGAAUACAUUUUACACCAUCGCCCAAGAUAAAAAGAGCACCAACCAAAACAGUGGUGUCCGCUUUGAUGCAGCAACCGAGAAUGGGCGAAAGGUCACAUAUUAUGGUUACAUAGAGGAAAUAUGGGAACUUGACUAUGGACCCUCCUUUAAGGUCCCUUUGUUCCGGUGCAAAUGGUUCAAGCUAACAGGAGGUGGGGUAAAGGUGGACGAGCAAUACGGAAUGACAAUGGUGGAUUUCAACAAUCUUGGUUACCUUGACGAACCAUUCGUCCUUGCCAAAGAUGUCGCUCAGGUUUUUUAUUUGAAGGACAUGAGUAGCAAACCGAGGAAACGGAAAGAUAAGAAAACGAUCAGUACAUCAUGCGAUGAUCCAAAGCGCCACAUUGUUCUUUCAGGGAAAAGAAACAUCGUGGGAGUGGAGGACAAGACAGACAUGUCAGAAGAUUAUAAUAUGUUUGGUGAAAUUCCGCCCUUCAAAGUGAACACUGACCCAAGCAUUAAGUUAAAUGAUGAGGAUGCUCCAUGGAUACGGCACAAUCGUAAGCAAGCAGGGACACAAGGGAAGAAUUNNNNNNNNNNNNNNNNNNNNNNNNNNNNNNNNNNNNNNNNNNNNNNNNNNNNNNNNNNNNNNNNNNNNNNNNNNNNNNNNNNNNNNNNNNNNNNNNNNNNNNNNNNNNNNNNNNNNNNNNNNNNNNNNNNNNNNNNNNNNNNNNNNNNNNNNNNNNNNNNNNNNNNNNNNNNNNNNNNNNNNNNNNNNNNNNNNNNNNNNNNNNNNNNNNNNNNNNNNNNNNNNNNNNNNNNNNNNNNNNNNNNNNNNNNNNNNNNNNNNNNNNNNNNNNNNNNNNNNNNNNNNNNNNNNNNNNNNNNNNNNNNNNNNNNNNNNNNNNNNNNNNNNNNNNNNNNNNNNNNNNNNNNNNNNNNNNNNNNNNNNNNNNNNNNNNNNNNNNNNNNNNNNNNNNNNNNNNNNNNNNNNNNNNNNNNNNNNNNNNNNNNNNNNNNNNNNNNNNNNNNNNNNNNNNNNNNNNNNNNNNNNNNNNNNNNNNNNNNNNNNNNNNNNNNNNNNNNNNNNNNNNNNNNNNNNNNNNNNNNNNNNNNNNNNNNNNNNNNNNNNNNNNNNNNNNNNNNNNNNNNNNNNNNNNNNNNNNNNNNNNNNNNNNNNNNNNNNNNNNNNNNNNNNNNNNNNNNNNNNNNNNNNNNNNNNNNNNNNNNNNNNNNNNNNNNNNNNNNNNNNNNNNNNNNNNNNNNNNNNNNNNNNNNNNNNNNNNNNNNNNNNNNNNNNNNNNNNNNNNNNNNNNNNNNNNNNNNNNNNNNNNNNNNNNNNNNNNNNNNNNNNNNNNNNNNNNNNNNNNNNNNNNNNNNNNNNNNNNNNNNNNNNNNNNNNNNNNNNNNNNNNNNNNNNNNNNNNNNNNNNNNNNNNNNNNNNNNNNNNNNNNNNNNNNNNNNNNNNNNNNNNNNNNNNNNNNNNNNNNNNNNNNNNNNNNNNNNNNNNNNNNNNNNNNNNNNNNNNNNNNNNNNNNNNNNNNNNNNNNNNNNNNNNNNNNNNNNNNNNNNNNNNNNNNNNNNNNNNNNNNNNNNNNNNNNNNNNNNNNNNNNNNNNNNNNNNNNNNNNNNNNNNNNNNNNNNNNNNNNNNNNNNNNNNNNNNNNNNNNNNNNNNNNNNNNNNNNNNNNNNNNNNNNNNNNNNNNNNNNNNNNNNNNNNNNNNNNNNNNNNNNNNNNNNNNNNNNNNNNNNNNNNNNNNNNNNNNNNNNNNNNNNNNNNNNNNNNNNNNNNNNNNNNNNNNNNNNNNNNNNNNNNNNNNNNNNNNNNNNNNNNNNNNNNNNNNNNNNNNNNNNNNNNNNNNNNNNNNNNNNNNNNNNNNNNNNNNNNNNNNNNNNNNNNNNNNNNNNNNNNNNNNNNNNNNNNNNNNNNNNNNNNNNNNNNNNNNNNNNNNNNNNNNNNNNNNNNNNNNNNNNNNNNNNNNNNNNNNNNNNNNNNNNNNNNNNNNNNNNNNNNNNNNNNNNNNNNNNNNNNNNNNNNNNNNNNNNNNNNNNNNNNNNNNNNNNNNNNNNNNNNNNNNNNNNNNNNNNNNNNNNNNNNNNNNNNNNNNNNNNNNNNNNNNNNNNNNNNNNNNNNNNNNNNNNNNNNNNNNNNNNNNNNNNNNNNNNNNNNNNNNNNNNNNNNNNNNNNNNNNNNNNNNNNNNNNNNNNNNNNNNNNNNNNNNNNNNNNNNNNNNNNNNNNNNNNNNNNNNNNNNNNNNNNNNNNNNNNNNNNNNNNNNNNNNNNNNNNNNNNNNNNNNNNNNNNNNNNNNNNNNNNNNNNNNNNNNNNNNNNNNNNNNNNNNNNNNNNNNNNNNNNNNNNNNNNNNNNNNNNNNNNNNNNNNNNNNNNNNNNNNNNNNNNNNNNNNNNNNNNNNNNNNNNNNNNNNNNNNNNNNNNNNNNNNNNNNNNNNNNNNNNNNNNNNNNNNNNNNNNNNNNNNNNNNNNNNNNNNNNNNNNNNNNNNNNNNNNNNNNNNNNNNNNNNNNNNNNNNNNNNNNNNNNNNNNNNNNNNNNNNNNNNNNNNNNNNNNNNNNNNNNNNNNNNNNNNNNNNNNNNNNNNNNNNNNNNNNNNNNNNNNNNNNNNNNNNNNNNNNNNNNNNNNNNNNNNNNNNNNNNNNNNNNNNNNNNNNNNNNNNNNNNNNNNNNNNNNNNNNNNNNNNNNNNNNNNNNNNNNNNNNNNNNNNNNNNNNNNNNNNNNNNNNNNNNNNNNNNNNNNNNNNNNNNNNNNNNNNNNNNNNNNNNNNNNNNNNNNNNNNNNNNNNNNNNNNNNNNNNNNNNNNNNNNNNNNNNNNNNNNNNNNNNNNNNNNNNNNNNNNNNNNNNNNNNNNNNNNNNNNNNNNNNNNNNNNNNNNNNNNNNNNNNNNNNNNNNNNNNNNNNNNNNNNNNNNNNNNNNNNNNNNNNNNNNNNNNNNNNNNNNNNNNNNNNNNNNNNNNNNNNNNNNNNNNNNNNNNNNNNNNNNNNNNNNNNNNNNNNNNNNNNNNNNNNNNNNNNNNNNNNNNNNNNNNNNNNNNNNNNNNNNNNNNNNNNNNNNNNNNNNNNNNNNNNNNNNNNNNNNNNNNNNNNNNNNNNNNNNNNNNNNNNNNNNNNNNNNNNNNNNNNNNNNNNNNNNNNNNNNNNNNNNNNNNNNNNNNNNNNNNNNNNNNNNNNNNNNNNNNNNNNNNNNNNNNNNNNNNNNNNNNNNNNNNNNNNNNNNNNNNNNNNNNNNNNNNNNNNNNNNNNNNNNNNNNNNNNNNNNNNNNNNNNNNNNNNNNNNNNNNNNNNNNNNNNNNNNNNNNNNNNNNNNNNNNNNNNNNNNNNNNNNNNNNNNNNNNNNNNNNNNNNNNNNNNNNNNNNNNNNNNNNNNNNNNNNNNNNNNNNNNNNNNNNNNNNNNNNNNNNNNNNNNNNNNNNNNNNNNNNNNNNNNNNNNNNNNNNNNNNNNNNNNNNNNNNNNNNNNNNNNNNNNNNNNNNNNNNNNNNNNNNNNNNNNNNNNNNNNNNNNNNNNNNNNNNNNNNNNNNNNNNNNNNNNNNNNNNNNNNNNNNNNNNNNNNNNNNNNNNNNNNNNNNNNNNNNNNNNNNNNNNNNNNNNNNNNNNNNNNNNNNNNNNNNNNNNNNNNNNNNNNNNNNNNNNNNNNNNNNNNNNNNNNNNNNNNNNNNNNNNNNNNNNNNNNNNNNNNNNNNNNNNNNNNNNNNNNNNNNNNNNNNNNNNNNNNNNNNNNNNNNNNNNNNNNNNNNNNNNNNNNNNNNNNNNNNNNNNNNNNNNNNNNNNNNNNNNNNNNNNNNNNNNNNNNNNNNNNNNNNNNNNNNNNNNNNNNNNNNNNNNNNNNNNNNNNNNNNNNNNNNNNNNNNNNNNNNNNNNNNNNNNNNNNNNNNNNNNNNNNNNNNNNNNNNNNNNNNNNNNNNNNNNNNNNNNNNNNNNGAAAACCAAAAGAAAGAAGAAAAAAAAGGAAGAAGAAAAAAAGGAAGAAGAAAAAAGGAAGAAGAAAAAAAAGGAAGAAGAAAAAAAGAAAGAAGAAAGAAAGAAGAAAGAAAAAGGAAGAAGAAAAAAAGAAGAAAGAAAAAGGAUUGCUAGAUAAUCUUAUGUUUUAAUUCCUCCUCCUCUAUGUCCCCUUAAUCUUAUUUUUUAAUUCCUUUAUACUUAAAGAAUUUUUACUACAUGCAGGAGUGACAUAUGGCAGACGAUAGAGCCGAGCCACUUAGGGAUCCGGAGGCUGAACGUUAUUUAAUGGGCAUCAUCAACAACGAGAUUCCUUAUGUGCCGGGCUCUGAAUAUGAGCAAGAAGAGGAUGUAGUCUCUUCUUUUCUGAACCUUGACGGUGGAACAGAGAUUGUCGAUGAUCAAGAAGGUGAAGGAACGGACAUUGUCGACGGAGGUCAACCGUCAACAAACGACGAUCUCGAAUUGCAAGUAGCAACCACCUCCGGCGAGGUAUAUAUAUACAUUGAGCCUCUCGUGAUACAAACUUACUGAAAUGUGAAUACAUAUGUAUUAACGCGCGCGACUCUCUUUCUUUUUUUAGCCCUCCGGAUCGAGUACGACAAAGCGUGGCAAAUCCAAGGCGAUGAAAACAGGAGAAACAUAUGCCAUUGAGUUUGUCAGUGAAACCGGCAAGCCCCUACAGCACACCUCAAAGUUUAUCAACCAAUGCGGAGUCGUUGUUAGAGACAACGUCCCGAUCACCGUCCAGGAAUGGAAGGAGCCAAAGAAGGCACGUCUUGGUUUCAGUUUUGUCGACAAGAGAACGAAAAAGGAUUGCUGGAGAAAGCUUAUGGAACAUUUCAUUCUACCUCCGGAAUACAACAAAGUCGAUGAAUUCGGUAAAGAGGUUCCGGGUGGACGUCAGAGGAGGAGGCUAGUUAAAGAGUUCGCUCUUCAGAAGAUGGGCGAAGCAUUCCGGAACUUUAAGAAAAAUUUAACCCGUGACUAUGUCAACAAGGGCAAGACUCCGGAUUUCAAUGGACAACAUGAGAAACUGAAAGAUGAUUGGCCAGAAUUUGUGAGGCGAAAGCAAUCGGAGCAUUUCAAGGAAAUAUCGAAAAAAAUAAGGAUAAUGCGAGUAAGAAAAAGUUCCAUCAUAUUAUGGGGCCAGGAGGAUACCGCCUUUCGGAGCCUAGGUGGCAGAAGAUGGAGGAGGACCUGAGGGUGCGAGGAAUCCCUCUAGGUACAGAGGGAUGGGACCCAAGGGCCAAAAGCUGGUGGUACGGGCAUGGGGGAUCGCUAGACCCGGAGACAGGGGUGUGUGUUCACCGGCAGAGACAGUUUGCUCCCACCCAAGCCCUUAUUGACGCAAUGACCCAAGCUCAAGAGGGCUUGAUCAAGUUCAACAGAGAGAAAGACGCACUGACAACAGCCCUCGGGAAUGAUGAACACGGAGGACGUGUACGAGGCAAAGGCAAAGUUCCGUGGAAAGUAGGGUUUUCCCAGGACAAUGACACUCGUACUGUUACAGAAGCCGUAAGAGAAAGACGGACCGGGAUGCAGAUCUUAUGACGAAGUUUACAUCGGAACUCCAUCAGUUGAAGCAGACCGUGCAUGAACUAGUAAAAGAAAAAUCGGCUGCAGGGCCACAUGAAGAUCAUGAAGCGGAUCGCGGAAGCCAGCAGCGGAGAAGCAGCGUGGCUUCCACGGAUGCCCCGUCUGGUGCUAGUGCACCGAUGAUCGAGAUUCGUGCACCGGAGCCUCACUACCCCGUGGAUGAUGUAAAGGAGAUGAAAGAAUGUGAUCUGCAUUAUCCCGUGGGGAACGUUUCCACGAAGGUAGCUAGCGGCAGUGCUUUACCCUGUACACCUGGAGCACUCCACCACAACAACCCCAUUGCAUAUGGCUAUGCUCGUGUCGCGGUGGAAGACAUAGUCCAAGGGUUUGAGGACCUGGAGAUUGACAAACCUACACCCGAAGGGGAGAGAAGACUUGGAGAUGUCAAGCGCCAGAUCAUUCUAUGGAAAAAGAAGUACAUAGUGUUUCCAGGCGACGCGCCAAGGCUAGCAAGUCCACCCCCCUCCGAUGGUGGUGGUGGUGGCGGUGGUGGCGGUGGUGGUGGUCGUGGUGGUUCACCUACACCUCCUUCACGCCAUUCGACGCCGUCCCCCGAUCCACAACCUCCGGCGGGUACGACGCCCCCCAAUCCUCCUCUGGCGGGUACGACGCCCCCCAAUCCACCUCCGGCGAAGAAGCAGAAGCAGGAGGACAGCAAGGAAACCCGCUCCUGGACUAUUAACCCGGACCCUUAUGUACCUAAGACCACAAGGGUACCGGAGCCAUCACUGAAGCCUCUCCUCCCAAGGCCUGGGGAACUUAGUGAAGCUGAAACCAAAUUGGCCACGUCUGCUGAUUAUGAGAAAUGGAAGGCGGAUAUGAAGGCAAUAAAAGAGCCUGAGCCCAAGCAAGUAUUCACUGAGAAGCAAAAGAAGUGGGCUAAGGAUUUUUUGACGACACCGUCCCAAGCCGAGCUGAAUAUGCCUGACGACUAUGGACAUGAAAUUCGUAGGCAAGCAAAAAUAUUGAAGGAGGAGAAAGAAGAAAGUAAAAAAAGCAGGAAACAAGUUGACCAGCUCGGGAUGCAGAAGAAACAAUCGAUCCCCCCGCUCAUAGUGAAAGCCGGUCCGGAAGAGGACCCCGAGAUCAUAGCAGCUGCGGCAGCACUUGGAUUGACUGUAGCGAGUGCCAUGAAACAAGCGUCCGAGAUGGGUUUGACUCUUCGUGCCUUCUUAGGCCUUGAGGAUGCGCCAGUAUGUGAGAUAGCAUUACAAUAUGUGCGGAAUGGGCCUCUCGUCGAGCCUGCGCGGGAGAAGAGUCUACCGCCACAAAUGCGAAAUCUGCUACGUUGGUACAAGCAAUUCAUAACAUGGGCCGACAAAGAAUAUAUUUAUGCGGAUGUUACAGAGGAGCAUCACACCAAACGGUACUCUGUACAAGUUCAUAUGAGUGAAUUGUUCCAGCUGUUCAAUCUGCGCGACCUCGACAAAUCUAUGUUGAGUUGCUACGCUCUGUAAGUGAUUUAUUUCUACCUCAUCUCGUUCUUCAUUGCCUGCACUAUAUAUAUAUAUAUAUAUAUAUAUAUAUAUAUAUAUAUAUAUAUAUAUAUAUAUAUAUAUAUAUAUUGUCCUAACUAUAUUGUUGCGUACGCUAUUAUGCAUAUUGAAGAUUUGGGAAUGCAAAAUAAGAAACAUCCAUGAUGUUGGGUUCAUUGACCCACAUAUCGUUAAUGGACAUGUGUUACAAUAUCACCCCGAAGACGUGGAGAAAGACUUGUACAAGUUUCUUAGAAAGCAUCAACUCAAAAGUCAUAUUCUANNNNNNNNNNCUAUUAUGCAGAUUGAAGAUUUGGGAAUGCAAAAUAAGAAACAUCCAUGAUGUUGGGUUCAUUGACCCACAUAUCGUUAAUGGACAUGUGUUACAAUAUCACCCCGAAGACGUGGAGAAAGACUUGUACAAGUUUCUUAGAAAGCAUCAACUCAAAAGUCAUAUUCUAUUUCCUUACCAUUUUGGGUGAGUGUUUCUCUCUUGUGCCCAUUCUUUUUUGUUUACUCCAUGCAUGGUAUGUCUAAUCGAUGAGUUAUGCAUGACUGUGCAUGUAACGUGUCCGCAGGUUCCACGGGAUUCUGCUAAAUAUUUAACUUCACACCUCCAGAGUUCUAAUCAUGGACUCUAUGGAUUCGGAUCCAAAGCGUUGGGCCGACAUGAGAAAAAUGCUGCAAAAGUAAUUAUUUUCAAUCAUUUGAGCUCUAUAUCGAUCGGUCUCUUUCGUUCAUUUCCUAAUAUCAAGUAACUAAUAACUCCCUUGUUCAUUUAAUUUUCUUUGCCCUGUAGGGUUUGGAGACGGUUCUCAGAAGAAAUUGUCAGUGAAUUCAAACAUGAGCUAGAUUUUAGAAGGUUAGUUAAUGUGGAUAAGCAGCCACCGGGGACCAAUCUAUGUGGAUACUAUGUUUGUGAGAACAUCUGGAGACUAACCUCUGAGCGGAAGGCAUUGGAUAGCGUGCGGAAGGCGACGGAUAACUUGCGGAGGAGGCUUAGUCCAGAAGCUCGCUUCCGACCAAUUUAAGAUGAAUUAGCAGGAUUUUUCUUGAGGGAAGUCAUCAAUCCUAAAGGAGAACACUAUACCGAGGACGCAGACAUUUAUAUGCAUACCCGAGAUUGAAACUUGUUCGAAGUUGUAUAUGGUCCUCCAUCCUAAUUGUGUAUGGAAACUUGUUCGAAGUUGUAUAUGGUCACCCGAGAUUGAAUAUAUAUUAUAUAUUCCUCUUGAAUUCUUCUUGUUUGAAAUUUCAUAUGCAUGUAUAUAGUAUCGUAGAAUAUGUGUACUGAAACUUCAUCAAAAUUAAAACAAAACACAAAAUAAAA
rnacentral:lncRNA from 1 species